ACUACUUCCGCCUCCCCAUCGACAGCAACUGCGGCAGCUCGACGGGGUAAGAAAGAUUCAUCUACGCGAGGUCGGUUCCUCUGCUCUACCGAGGUAAAAACGGUCCAUCUUCCGUGUAUUAGCUCUUAUGUUUUUUUCCCGUUUUCCCUUUUUGUUCUUUUUCUCCUCGUUUGUGGAUGAUCGAAGUGUUUUCUGGUGGGUCCUUUUGAUUUUGGUUAGGGAGGGCGAUCUUGAUCAUUUAGGUUUUGGUUCUGUUCUUGGUUUUUGAUAUCUGAGAUCUAAUUCUUGAUGUUUUCUGUGUGGAUUUCUGGUAUGGAGUUCUUGAAAGUUGGGGUUUUUUGAUGUGGCGCAGCCAACAGCAACUAAGCCGCCUUCGCUUGGAAAGUCAACGACUUUUCUUACCAUAGGCGGGCUUUUUGAUAACUUUUCCUUGUUCAUCAAGAAUCCAAGAUCUCUCCCUUUUCUUUCCCUCAGUUUUUUCUGCUGUGUCCAUGUUCUUGCAGGACUUUCUUGAAAAGAAAACGGGUUUUUUUUUCUUUUUUGGUUUAUAUUGAGAAAUUGAUUGGUUUUGUUUUUUUUCUUUUAAAAUUAUGUACCGUGUUAUUAAUUCUCCAUCAUAGAUUCAUAGCUCAAUCGGUUUGCGUUCUAAAUCAUCAGGGAGAACAAUAAUUGUGUUUGAUUGAACAAGUAAAGAGCCUGGCUUAAUAUCCGGUUUGAUGGUGGUUUUCUUUCAUCUUCUUGAAGUGUUUGCUGGGCUUUGUUCCUUUUUAUUCGAGAGGGUUGUUUGCAUCUGGCCGGAGGUCAAAAGUUGAUGGGGAUUGGGGGGGGCAGACGGGCAGUUCAUACCUGCAUCUGGAAGUGAAAGUGUUAAUGCCUUUAAGAAUUAGUCUGGUUGAGUCUUGUCUGUUCAAUCACGGUCAAUUGGGUGACAAGAUCCAAACUUGGUCUAGCACAAUGCAAAAUAGUGUAGUGGAUUAUACGGUUCUUUAACAUGAUACAGGUAUGGUUUUGCAUUUGUUAUCAAACUAACAUGCAGUGGAUUGAGUGAUCAAACUAAGAGAUUAUUUUCUUCUUUUUGUGUCAUUGGUACAGCUAUGGUUUUGCAUUUGUUUAGUCCCAAUGUCAGUUUUCACAGAGUCAUGCUGUUGAUUCUGGAUGUAUGAUCCAUUUUUAUUAUAUGCUUCAUAUUUCAUUGUGCCCUUCCAGAGAAAAUAUGGAGACUGUUCAGUGUAUUUUGGAAGAUAUAUGAAGAACAUAUAAUAAUUUGAAUGACAAUAUAACUGAGGAUGUGUGUGUGUACACAUAGUGCUUAGCCCUUAUUCUGAAAAUAUCUAUUGUCACAUGAUGUCAUACACAACUAUUUGUGCAGUAGAUAUUUCUGUGAGUUAAUUACUUUUUAUAAUUAUAUCAAUUCUUCUUCCAUUUCUUCAGGAUGUUCAAUUAAAUCUUCAACUUUGUCUCCUCUAACUGGGAAUAUUUGCAUCACACACUGCCUGCAGUAGUUCAGGAAGUGUGUGUUGGCUCUACAGUGAAAUGGUGGCUGGAUGAGCCUACAUAUUUCCUGAUUGCUCCUUGAUGUAUCUUGACCUAGUGUGAUGUAGAGAUACUGAAUAUUGAUUAGAGUAUUCUCUUGCCUAGAAAAGUCAAUUCCCAUCUUGUUUGUGUAGAUUUUGCUGUGCGAUAACUUGCACCAUGGAACUUUGCUGAAUAUUUAAACAUGCUUGUUUUACUUCUAUUUCUUUCCAUUUCCCUUCCAAACAGCAUUGAAACAUGUCAUUUUGUUUUUCUUUUUAACAGGAUGAUAGCAGAGAAGCUAAUUGCAAUCACUUAGCUAUUUCCAACCAUGCAUCUACCUCUUUGGAUAAUCAUGUAGACAGUUCAUAAGCUGAAUAAUUUUUGUUUGUUUACUGCUGCAGGCCGGGCUGAGGCCCUUCUAAUUGCUGCAUAUGGAAAGGGCCUUAGAAGAAAGAAUAUAAGGCAGUCUGAGAAGUGCCCUGUUUUCCAAAGCAGCUUCUAUGACCAAGACGCUAACAACUUUGUUUUGGAAUUGGAAAUGAGGAGCACGGAGCACCCACAUUGAUAUUGAUUUGACUCGUGGGUAGCUUGUGCAUGUUCCAGUGCUUCUGACAUUGAGUGGCUCGGUGGCUUUUGCCUUACUCCUGUGAUCACAUUUUGUACUAACAUAUUUUUGCAACUAGAAAACCAUCAGAUUCCAAUUAGUAAAAUUGUGUUCCGUUAUUAUAUGAAUGAGCAUAUCUGCAGCUUUGUGGUAUGAGCCUGAUGCUGUUGUUACUGUCUGAACCGUCAGAACUUCUAUGCGUUUCAUUAUCUCAGCUUUACGUGUUUGAUUUUAAAGCUCCUGAGUUUGUCAAUGUUAAUCAACCCUUUUUUUAGCUUUAGCGAUCGCCAAGCAACCAUUUUUUCCUUAAUUAUUGAUAGUUUUAGACAACAGGUUAAACAAGUCGGGUCGGGUUGGGAAAACAGGUUAAACAGGUCGGGUCGGAUUGGAUAAACAGGUUAAAUAGAUCGGGUCAGGAUGGGUUGGGCUAAACAGGUCGGGUCGGGUUGGGCAAACAGGUUACUUUAUUAAACAUGUUAAACAGGUUGGGUCGGGUUACCUGUUUAUUAAACAUGUCAGGUUCAGGUUGUAAUUCCUGACCUGUUUAAUAAACAGAUCAAGUUCAGGUUUAUAAUUUUCUGACCCGAUCUACAUGUGAUCCGACCCGUUUAUGUCCGACCCGAUCCGAUUACCACCCCUACAUAAGACGAAUUGCAGCCGCUUAGAUAUGUAUUCUAAUUAACAAAAAAGGUGACUUUCUUUCUGUUCUAUCUCAACUACGGAUCUUAAUUUUUGAGGAAAAAAAGGCCCCUCACCACAACCCUUCUUCUAGAACACCCUCAUCUCGAUGUACAUCGAGAGCUCCGACCUGGUGUCCACUUACGACAUGUUCGAUGGAAGGUCCACCAGAGAUGCCCGUCGUUUCCAGAAACUCCCCGCCAAAUAAAAGAAGUGAGCUUUCUUAUUAGUCAACUACUGCAACUUAAGUUGCAAAAUGACUUGAGUUGCAAUGCAAUUUCACCUACAAGGCUCCAAACAGCCCCUUUUUGUUGACAAUGGCAAAAGUCUACCUUUAUUUCUCUAUUCAGCCAAGUGACUUCAAUCCUUACCUCCACAUAGUUCCUUCCAUGUCAAGCAAAAUCUGCCACUCAACAUUUGACUAUUGCAAAAUUGUAAAUUUUAAACAAUGUAGCUUCUACAUAGACUCUAUAUUCUAGACCCUGAAGAAGAUGAUUUUCCAAGGAUAAGAAGGAACAUCUAUAUUGUUUUUUUAGAGUUCACAAAAACGAUUCGGUACCCAUACGGGUACCAUGUUGGCGCAUUGUCAGUUUUAUCUCCUGUUUAUUCGGUUGGAAAAUCAUAUCGUUCCGCACCAAGAGAGAGAGAGCAUCGAUUUCAUAUAGCGACACCCUACACCCUCUAUACCAAGUACUGGUUUUGUAUCGGUACGAUAAAGUGUGCCUAGCAAGUGCGGUACACCUAGCAUGAUGCGAUACACUCUGAUAUGGUGUAACUUUGGUUUUUUCUUAGCCUUCAUCAGUCAAUGUUUCUCUUGGACGUAUUAUGUUGAUAAACCUUCUGUAAAAGGUAACUCAUCAACUUUUUACAAAGAUAUUGAGAUUUGCAAAGGACAAUCGCAUAUUCUAAAUAUGCAAUGUAGAGAGACCCUGAUCCACCUGGCCACUAGCCAAAAGUGUAAGAUCUAAUCCAGCAAAGAUCAAGGACACCAGCAAAUCAAAUUAUAACAAAUUACCCAGCUAACAGAACAGCAGUCCACGAGAAUCUUUAAAGCACAAAUCCAGUAACCAUUUCUAGAUCCAAUACAUACUUGAUGUAGAUAACUUUGUCUACAGUUUGUACAUAUCCAGCAUCGCAGAUAAGUACCAUAAACAGUUCUAAAUAGAAAAUGAAGUGUGAUUUGAGAAUGGGAUGAACAUCAUAGUUCAGCGAUUGUUGCUCUUUAAGCAAGCGUAUGCAGCAUGCUCAUACAAGUAAUAUUCUAAGUUGUUCCACCUAAUUUUAUGAUUUCGCACCCUUUUAUUAUUCUAGCAUUCUAAGUCCAGAACAUUUUAAAAUGUUAUGUAUACGAAGGAACAUACGCUUAAAUUUAGUUUCGCCACAAAGUCAGUGUAAAUGAGACUGCAGGAGAACCACUUGAUGCAUUUCUAAGAGCAUAUAAACAUGUACAAGUUUCUAGCUUUUUAAUUUCAGUGAAAUAUGCUCUGCACAUAGGUAAGCUUUACACACUAAACAUCCCAAUAUUGAAUACUUGCUAGAUCUAAGAAUAUGACAAAUGUUGCUACAUGCAUAUCAGUGAUAAAUAAGCAGCACACAUAUUCAUGACAGGGUUUAUUAUUUAUAUAUGCAAUAAAGGAAGAAUUUAGAUUUAUGACCCGUAGAAACAAGAAACUAAAAAAGUCUAAAAUCAAAUGUGCACAUAAAUUUCCUGAUACUAAAGAAUAUUCGUUGUCGAAUUUCAAGAAGAUGGGAGUAUAAAGACCAUUGAGCAUCAAGACAGACAUUCAUGCAAUAACAUAAUUAUGGUUGAUCAAAUCUCAAGAAACCUUGCAGUUCCUUGUGUAAAACGGUAACUAUUGCCAAACACAGGAUCAUAAUCCUAAGAAGCUACCAUUGGUUUUAAUGUGAAAUAUGUCGACUUUAAUCUGCAUCAAAAAUAACAUUAAUACCCUUUUUUACGUCUGACAAUAAUAUAAAAAUACAGUUUGUGCUCCUCCAGUACUCCCAUAGUUUCAGAAUUGAAGUGCCCCACUAGCAUCUUUUCCCUUUUUAACCCAAACUACUGUAGUGAAAUGAUCUUCCUCAAGAAAAAAUAUUCUAUAUCAGAAUUAAAUAGCAAAAUGUUUCAGAAUGCAUGUGCUAAAUCAUCAUUGCCUCCAGAAAUCGAGAUUAAAAAGUUCAAAUUUCACAGUCUUCCCUACAAUUGCUGUUUGUAACAAAUAUAUAGAUGACAGCAAUCAUCCGUAUAUUCUCUAUGUAAAAUGGACAAAACCCAUCUGAUUCAUCAAGUAAAAUUAUUACACUUUAACACAAGCUUCCAUGAUGGUGAUAUAACUAUCUGAAAACACCUACGAACAUUCCCUUAUUCUAAAAAAUUAGCAGAAGAAAAGUGAAAAGAUUAGAAUUUCAAGAAAAACUUAGUUCUCUGUUAGAAAAAAUAGUACGAGAAAACCUGUCUUUUCCUCUAUGCAAUGAAGCUAGAAUCAUUGGUAAAUCUUGCAUAUACAAAAGAAAGAAGUGUAUCUGGUGAAGUUUAGAUGAUGUUAGAAGACUAUACUGGUAAAAAUGACUUUAUGAAACUAAAUAUUAUCAAUCAAUUGAAAUGACGUGCUUUCAAUAUAGUACAAGAGAAAGGUAGGUAAGCAAAAAAGAAGAUAUUCAACUUACGCAUCACUAUCCCUGGAAAGAGAGAGAGCACUCAAAGACAAUCCAUAAGCUAUUUCAACUACACAUGUCAGAGUACAGUCCUUCGACUCCAGGGAUCUCAAAAGCUUCUUGAAGCAAUUUAAGAAGGGGGGAGGCGACCUCCAUUCGUACUCAUUUGAAAUGGUACCAUCACAAUAUCUCUCGUCUCGUUCUGUUUGCUCAAGGGUAAAAGAUCGCAAUUGUGAAAAGAGGGAAGAAAGAGCACUUCUACCCUGACUGCAGGAAGUUAAUUCCUUGAAAGUCACAAGACAAGCUAACAACUCCCUUCCAACUGGCAGAACCUGAUAAAAACAAUCUAUCUAUCAUGAUUGAGGAAAACUAAAUUAAAGGAAGAAAAAAGGUUCAAGAGUUUGCAGAAAAAAUGAGCAAAAGAAAAGAAGGGUACAGCCAGUACUCUAUGAGGGAUGAACAAUUGGCUGAAAUAUCAAAUAAUGGAGAUAUACAAAAGAUAGUCACUGCUUGCUGCCUAGCAGCCAAAUGUUUUUAGCAUCAUAACUAAGAAGAGACCAUCUCUCAUCAUUGUAAAGUAAAACGUUUACAUGAAUGAUAGCAAAACAAUGACGUCAAUUUAUUCUUAAAAACAAGAACAUUAAACUGUUCCCAUACAAAGAACGUGUUCUAAUUGAUCAUCCAAAUGAAUAUUUCGUCAUUUUUGUGCAGAACUGAUAGCAAAUAACAAUGUUGUAGGUGUAGAAAUAGGUCGUGCCAAGGAACACUAACCGUUUUAGUGCAUGAAUGGUAGUAAUGAUUAUUGGCAUAAUCCAUACAUAAACUAAUUGUCGGUAGUUAAACCUUUAAAUAGCCAAAAGAGUAACAAGAAUCCAUAGUAAAUAAAGUAAUAAUAAACAUUUCACUAUUAAAAAAUGUGUUAAUAAUUGAAUGGCAGUUUAAAGUUGGAAGCAAGUAUGCAUUUUGAUGAGAAAAUUGAUGAACCAUGAAAAGAAAAUGACAAGGACCUCCCCAAUUCGUUAUUAACUAAGAAAACAAAUUAACCUAUGAACAACAGCAGUUAUAGUGAACAAAUAUAUCUAAUUAUUAUGUCCCAUUUGAUUUAUCUACAUUUCCUGUACUUUUCAAUGCAUGCACUAUUAGUUUAUUAAAAGAUUUCAUAUUUUCUUUAUCUAUCAGGCAAUGGUAGGAACUAGGAAGAAACUUUUUUUUCUAUCAUAUAUGCUAAUUGGCCUAAUUAGGUUCAAGUAAAGAAAAAAAAGUAAUCAACUAAUGUUUCAAUAAAAAUAAAUAUUCUGUUAUCUCAUAUCAAGCCUAGUAGUACCGUUGGUAUUAAAUGGUGUAACCUGUUAAUCCAUACAUGUAUUAUGUCUCUUCUUGCUACCCUUUGCCUUUUGCAUUAAAUAUGUUAAACUUAGCUUGAUAUUUUAGUUUGGAUUUAACACUACUAACACAGUAGUAAAUCGCAUUAGCUUCUUGCAGAUCCUGCUCACUAUGAAAUUUCACAAAUAAACAUAAGAAUAAAGUAUAGAAUUUUUCCCUUUCAACGGUUAAGUUAGGUAUAGUCCACCAAUUUAAAGUCGCAAGACAAAUGUCUCAGCAAUGGGCCAAACCUCAUCAACAUUAGCCUAAAACAUAUUUAGUUUGGUCACAUUGACCAGCUCCAAUUUUCUACAACCAGAGUUCAUCCUGUUAUAUGAAUGAGCCUGGACUUAGAAUUAUCAUACUAUGCAAAUGAUCAAAAUACACAUCCACAUUAUGUUAAAUUGGCUAGCAUGCCUAGUGUACAGUUAACCUCAUCAACAGUGCUGCAAAAUCUUCGCAAACAUCAUAGAACACAAAAUGUAAGAAUGCUCAAACCGGACAGAUUAUGCAAGCAACUGUAGGAUACCAUUUGGCCAAGAUGGAUAGUAGUCUUUAUCAUCUACAUUUAUUAAAUGGGAUUCAAAAUUUGACCUUUUCAAGGGUUACAUUGCAUAUUAGACCCUCCCACCCACUCCUUGAUGGGAAAUUGUGGGAUUAUACUUGUCUUGAUAAGAUCAACAUAGCCUUAUUGUUUAAGAUAAGUCUAAGGUGAUUGUCAAAACUCCAUAGCAUUUAGUCAAGGAGAGGCUCCACUUCUCCAUUCUUCCUAGUUUGUGGUGGGCAAUUACUUUGAAGAAUAACUAAGAAAAAAGAUUGUUUCUUGAAGCACUUAAGCUUCAUUUGGCUAGGAAGCCAAAACUUCCCUCAAGUGACAUGUUGUGACAUUCUCUAUUGAGCUUACUAUCCAAAACAAGCAAAUAGUUGAGGGGCAACCUCUUGCUAAUAAAACCUUCCGAUGGAAACUAAAUUAAACAUCCUUUGUUGCAAGAAUACUUGGUCUUUAAUACUUAGGUCAAGCAGCAAAUUACUCAUAUGUUAAACAAUUCACUGAGUUCUGCGAUCCAUUAUACCCAGGCUAAAUUUGGCAGCCAAGUGGAGGCAGCUACGAAGGAGAAGCCAUUAUGUCCUUCGCUGCAUCUUGGAACAAUCUAUAUGCUAGCUGGAGAAGUGAAGAUUUGUCAUCAACAUUCAGUAGACACUAUCAAAGGCUACAGGCAGAAAGUACGCUUCUACCAUGGCCGUUAGAAGGACCAAAAUGGAGGGGAAAAUAAAAAUUCACCCUUUCCAAGGGAAGAUAAAUAUCUGCAUCAUACUUGUUCAUCACACAAGGGAAAAAGUUUGAAGUCUCGAACAUAGUACACUUCUACAAACCUGUCUUCUAAAUGAAGAUAAAGGCAUGCUUAGCCCAUGGAUCCACUUCGUUGUGAGUAAAUUUAGUUAUCUGCUUAGCUAACCAAGAAAACAUCAAAUGAUGACAAAAUUUCAACAAUUUUCCCACCCUAUAAUUUCAUAGUGGAAGGACAUCAGCAGCCAUUGACCCUAAAUCCUCAUCUAUAGAAUUAAAAAGUCUUAUACAGUAGAAGAAAUGGAGAAAAGGAAAAGAGGAAGGGGAAGAAGAUAGGAUGUCUCUUUCCUUAAAGUGUUGUAGAAAAAAUUGUGUCAUUAUUAGAUGACAAAUCACGUCUCCACUAAUAUCCAGUGGUUGACUAAAACAACAUUCUCACAAUACAUGACAAGGACUAGCAGCGAAGAGACAGCAACAACAACAUUGUCAUAUUGAUAGAAGAUGUGCCAAAUGGCAUAAAAUGGCUUGUGUUGGUAAUACAAAAAGUUUGAACACCACAAAACAUCUUGACUGUAUUAUUUAUGCUACCUUAGGUCAUUGCCUGAACUGUAAGUAUCGAAAGUCGAAGAAUGAGUAAUGAAGAAGGUCCAAGAAUAAGCAACACGAAGGGUUCAAAACAAGGUUUUCCGUCUCAGUACCGGACCCCGUACUGGUGCCACACUAACACAGUGUCGGUACGAUACGAUACGGACUUUUUUGGCGUCCCGAGUAUCGGUGUGCCACCUGUACCGGAUACCGGUACCGGGUUCGGUACCGUACGCGUACCUUAGUUCAAAAGGCAUCACCCAAAAAAAAAAGGAAAGAAACACCACAUUAUAUCCUAGACUUCUAACAUGAUCUUGACAUAAAGCAAAUAUUGACAUUUAAGGCACUGUGAAGGUAAAAGACAGAAGAUUUCUCUGUAGUUCACCAAGGCAAUAAGCCAUGAUGCUUACCAGGCAUCAUUCUUCUGCUUAAUCAUUUAUUCAAAAAGAAAAGGUGAGUGGCAGCUUUAAAUGGAUGAUGUAUAAAUGAAACAAAAAUCUUAUCAUUUAAAAAGAUUUAAAGGAAAUUUGCUUCUGAGGAAUAUUCAACAUCGUAAACAAGGCGCCAACCAAAAAUAAUGAGUGAUGUUUGCUUUGCAUAGUAAGAAAAAAAAUUGGCCCAGAAAAAGAAAAAUCAUACACAAUCCUCAUUAAAAUAUCCAAAGGUAAGAUUAAUUUGGAUCAUAUAUGAAUGCAACUAGCUCAAAUGACCCUCUCUUUGAUUUGAGAUAUUGAAGAAGUUUUUAAAGCAUACAUUUCCUAACAAACGACAUGAUACUCACAAAAAAAACACUGGAGUAGUAAGUUACCUGACAUAACUUAAGGACAUGCUGCACAAUCACGGAAUUUUCUUCAAUAGCUAUAUUUUCAUUUAAAUACCUGUAUUAUGAGAGUAAAAACAAUUUAUAUUCUCAAGAAAAUGCAAAAUUAGAAUGAAAUAUCAAGAAUCAGAACCCAGGAGUCAGUUUUGGAUUCACUCACUGAUCAGGUACUCUUGUUCGGUUUAUAGAUGACUGGGAGUUACAAAUCAGUGCCACGGACUUUAAUACAGGAAGGCACCAGCAAAGAAAUGUGACACUUUUAGAAGGAACUCUGCUUUCCAGAAUCAGCUUUCCAUCUGAAUUAAACACACUGCUACAUCUCUUUAGUACUUUUCCUAAAAUUCUCACAGCCCCCGUCUUAAAUAAUAAUACCUGGAUAAGACAGGAAGUUAAAACAAGCACAGAAAUGGAACAUUGACUAAUGUGAUACAGAUGAAAAUUCAGUAACCUUGGCAUGAGGAUGCUCCAAGUGUAACAUUCUUAAAAGGUUAAUUAGUAAAACAAGCGAAGGAAUCAUGAGAUCAACUAAGCUCUGUUCAUGACUUCGUUCCAAUAGCAAAUCAGUCGUAGUGUUACAUUCUGCACCUUCAUCAAGUAGGUAAUCGUUUACAAUUGACGAGAGGCAGCCACAGCUGCAUCUUCUGAAAUAAAUGCCAAAAUUCGAAAUGCUGUUGUCAAUUGAACUAUAGAGGUACUGCAGAGUGUGACUCCAUCAAAGUACUUAUCAGUGACAAACUUUCCAAGUAGAUUAUCCACAACUUGAGAAUCAGAAGUGUUGGUUGAAUCCCCAACAACAUUCUCAACGUCAAUUGUUGGUUGAGCAUCUCCACCAGAAGCUAAACGGCAGCACAUCUAAGAAGCCCUACAGCCCCAUUUCUGUGAUAAACAACACCAGCAUCUAUCCACUCCAACAACCUUGUAGGAGCAUCCUUUUUAUUGGACCCUGGAGAAGAAGAGUGUAAAGCCUUAUGAAGUUCCACAGCAUGUCCAAUCCAUGAUUUGAGAGAAGAUGCAGUUGAAUCUGUGACCAUGACUUCAAAAAUCUCUGCUGCUGAAUGGAAGAUGGCAAGACUCAGCGGAGGAGUUCCGCUGUUCAUAGCACUUGGUAACGAAUGAGUUGUUGCAAGCAAGCGAUCAAUAGCAGUCCCACUUUAAGAUGGAGCUCUAUGAUCAUCCCAACUUCCUGUGGAUGACAGAAGAAUCCCUUUGCAAAGGCCUGCCUAAGAGCCAUGCAUUCUUUCUUACUUGUAUCUUCAGGAUCUCGAAGAGAAAGAAUUAUGAGCUCAGUUGCUUCAGGUUGAACAAGUAAGAAAGAUAAGCCUGAACGAUAGAAAAGGAGAGAGAGAAGUAUGGAUUCAAUUGAUGUGGCAAUUUCCAUAAAUAUGUCUGCUGUGCUCCCACUUGCUGACCGUAGUACAGGCGAUGACAACAAAGCAGCUGACAAAGGAAAAAAGCCUCUUUAGAGAUAACAAAUAUGUGUCGAUGUCCCAUCUAGCAAAACUAUACUUGCAUGUUGUAAUAUAGUUGACAGUUGCUUUGUAAGACAACAGACCCUCUGAUUGGCCAGAAAUAGAUAAUCUUUGUGCAAAAGCCAACGGAGAAGAAUCUUCAAUUGGUCCAAACAUAUUAAUCAAUUUCAGAAUUUGCUUGAGCUUAGAAUUUGCGGCAGCAAGUGAUUCACUUCCAUCAGUACUAAUAUGGAAAUCAGAAGAAAGAUUAGCCAAUACACAUAGCACUGCAGCCUCAAAUUUCGAGACAGUCUCAUAGAAAUGCAAACGGUGUAGGAUAUAGGUUACACGAGAGGCAACAUCAUGCCGUUGCCAUCCCAGUAACAGCUUCAGUAAAUAACAAUAACCUUCACUUUUACCAACUGGAACAUUCUCAUCUCCACGUGGCCACCAUCCCAGAAAUCCAUCACAUCCAAUGCCAUGCCGAGUAGCAUGUUCCACAAUACCAAGCAAUAUUAAUGUGUAACAAAAUAAAUCAACAAUUUGCUCCAUUCCACCAUUAUCAACCAUGCUUCCAUCUUCCAUUAACUGAGUACCCCUUACAGAAUGAAUUUCAUAGAGUUCAACAAGCUCUAGCCUCAGAAAGAACAUUAAUAAAUUGCUGGGAAUCUUUUCUUUUAUCAGUGAACCCGUUCAGCAAUUGUUGGUCCCAAUAGACUGGGAAGCUGUUAUUGCUACCAGUGGCAUAUGAACAAACAGCUGAUACAACAGAACUUGCUAGAAAUUGUGUUCUCAUGAUCAGAAACGCCGAGUGCAAUGCUGGUGGCAGGUCUUCAAGCUUCGCCUCUGAUGGAGAACAAACCACAUUUGCCAGAGAAGUAUCGAGAUCAAAUUCUAUGUUAAAUUGUCCAAGAUCUUCAGCAGUGUUUCCAUAAACAACAAGAGUGAGACAUCGAUAACUACCCCUUAAUACCGUCGCGCCAAUAAGCGAUAAGUUUGGUGUAGACGGAGAAGCAUUCUGCUCAAGAAACUCACAAGCAGUUAUGACAACAGGUUCUGCAAACAGCACCUCAUCGACAUAUUCAUCAAGCUGAGAAUGAACAAAUGAUUGAGCAAAUAAGACACAUGGCUCGGGGCGGCCCAUCCUCUCUUCUUUAACUCUAGAUAGACAUAGCCGAGUCGCCAAGGAGGAGGACGAUGAGAAAGAAGAGAAGCACCGCACCGCCCAUCGAGCUCCCCGCAAACGAGCCCUUCCGGCUCUUCUUCAAUUGUCGGAAAAUCGUCGCCCCCACCGGAGAGGGAGGGGAGAGCGAAAGCUAGGGCAGACCACAGACGGAGGAGGAGGUGGGGACUGGGGAAGAAGGAGCUAGGGCAGCACCGCAGCAAGUCGGGGUCGGGAGAGGACUGAGGAGGAUGGACCGAAUGGUAGGAGAGGAGGGCGUUGGGCCAACCGUCGGAUGCAGGGUUUGGAACUGAUCUCAACCGUCGGAUCCCAAACUCAAUUAGUCAGGUUAAGUCGCGAGCUCUGUUUAGGCUCGUGAGCUGCUCGGGCUCGAGUUUAAACGGGCCUUAUUUUGAGCUUGGGCUCGAGCUCGUUUGACUAACGAGCCGAGCCCGAGCCGAGCUUUUAUCGGGCUCGGCUCAUUAGCAGGCCUAACCCUAAACCCUAAACCCUAAAAACCCUAAACUUUAAAAUCCUAAACCCAAAAACCCUAAACAGAUUAGCAACAAAAUGAAGCAACCGAAGCAUCUGAACAAAAAACAUAUCAAAUUUUAGAUCAUUUGGAGUGGCCAUAAUGAAAAUAACAGAAAACUUAUUACCUUGAAAAUAUCCAUGUCAGACAGGGAUGUUUCAUUAACAUGAUUAUCCAUCCAUGAAAAUAUUGGUCGUAGAAGGACAACUGCACAUUCUGUCCUUUGGCAGGCAACACGAAUUAUGAGAACACGAAGCAUGUCUUGUACGACCACCAAAGCCUGAGUAAUAAAUUAACAACAGAUUUGAUCAACUGCCAGUAGUUUAAAAAAAAAAGAGCAAGAGAAAGCAACAUAUUAAGGCUGCACAUACGGUAGAGGCAAAAUGCAGGACAACUUGUGCAAUUCUGUCAAGUUGUGGCGUCAACCGAACGAGUAGCACUUCUAGGUGUUCUGGCUGUAAAUACCAGAUGAUGUCUCUCUCUGCUUGAGGUCCUAAAAUCGACCCAAUACUCAAAAGUCCCAAAGCACUUAAAGGGGGAAUCUCAUAUUUCCAUAGCCAUAUACCUUCCUCUGGAAAUAGAUCACCCUUUUGGUGCAUAAAGUCACAUAUAAGAGAAUGCACUGGUUAAGUAAAGAAUCUAAAUUAUGAGAGCCAGAUUAUGACUUAUCUAGAUAUUUAAGGUUCUGUAUGCAAAAAGAAAUCAGAAGCUCCAAGAGAGGCUCCAUGAAGUUGUUAGCAUUAUUACCAGUAGGCAGAGCAUGCUGCAGGCAUCCUUUGGACCCAAGGCUAAUGAUGAAGUAGCCUGAACACUCUCAAGAAGACAAUGAAAUAGACCAGGCGUCCAACCAAAUAUAGGCCAGCAAGCAAGCGCUGAUGUAAGAAGUUGACAGACAGCACCAAAACCAAGUGCAGAGCUUGCAUAUGGGAAAGACAAGUCCACUGCACAAGCUGCUAAUUUUGGGCUGCAAAUUUAACACUUAGGAUUAGAAAAAUUCAGCAACCACAAAGGAACUAAAGGAAAAAUCAAAAACAUGGUACCUUACUUCUCGAUGCAGUUGUAGAAGUGCGUUAAGUAAUUUUUUGUUGCGAUACUGCUCCUUUGUUUCCUACAAAUGAAGUGCCUUUUUAAUUUAAAAGCGUAUAUAAACAAACAGUGCUCAUUAACCUUAAUUGGUUAAAAAACUAUCAUCUUAUAAGUCAAAGAAACAUUUUUCAACUAACAUCACAAUACUUUAUUUCAGAUGCAAUAGCGAUAGAAAGUCAAUGAACCCAUUAUUUGUAUUGAAAUUGCAUUCUGCCAAGAUAGGACUGAUACUUCCAUAAAAUGCAACUCAAGUAAUUUUUGAUGAUUCGUUUUGACAUAGAUGCCUAUAGCCACUAACAUAAACAUGACCUGACACUCUUGGACGAUGGAUGUCAUGUCGAGUCCCGUUCCCUCUCCCCUCCCAACACUCAGGAUAGUGCCCCCAUCCUGUCACUCGACAUUGUGGGACAUCCUGCAGUCCCACUAGGACUUAAAUCCUUGGAUACAACAUAAUACAAAUACAUUGAAAUAGCAUAUCUCGAAGAAAUAGGAUAUGAUACAGCUAGGAUACACUAACAAAUAAAUAUAUAUUAUUUCCAUAUAAUUAAAAAGGAAUGCACAAAGCAUUAAUAGAAUAGAACGCUUAUUUCCAUCCUGCAUACAACAUGUAUUCGCAUCUGAUAAAUAUUGGUUAUAACCAUGGCAUGAAAACUUCUAGUAUCCACGUACCCUGGGGAAAAGUUGGUGUAAUUAAAAGACUAGGACUGUUUAGCCUGGUCAAGACACUCAUUAAACCACAGCUUCUAAAGAACAAUUGUUAACCAUCUUUCAAACAUUGGGGAUAUUCAGAUACUAAAAUACAUAUCCUUCUGAAGGAGCAUGAAUUUCUCGACCUUCCCAAAUAACCCAGAUUGAUGUUCUACAUGAAUGGAUGAGAUAUCAAGGAACAGAAAGGAACAACAAUCAGUAAUCAAGCCAAAGAGUCAUACAAUCCAUCAGAAGGAGAAAUUUAUAGUAGGCUAUGAAUAGGACCAAUAACGGCAAUAUAAUUCAUUAAGCAGACAUAAGAAGUUGUGAACUUCUAUAGUGGUUGUUAUGAACUUGUAUGUGACUUUUCACUUCGAUGCUUUGGGUUUAAAACAUAGCAAUUUCACAGUUUUGGUGCAGAUAAAUCAGAAUGUGAUGAAUGCCAAAGAAACAGUUGACUCUCCAUUAAUUAUCAUAGACAAAACCUAGUUCACAAGUCCUUGAUGCAAUAUGAAACUACAUAAAGUGUACUUAUUUGCCAGCAUAUUUCAGACUCGGAGCAUUCGACAAGGAGAGCAUGCAUGCUUAUGCAAACACUAAUAUAAUCAUGCAUACACAUAUAAAAUUCCAAGAUCUGACUUCUAACAAUUAGUUUCUAACAUGAAGUAAAAUUUUAGCAACUCAAUCAAAUUAUAUUCUUAUGGAUUUCUCCUGCGGCAUGUUUUAUAACUGAAAGAACAAGGACUAACCAAUCAUAGAACAUAUAGUUUCAGAAGCAUAUAUUGGCAUCCAUGAGAGGCUGCAUACCCAUGGAACUAAAUUGACAAUAGCACUACUAAGUAGUACAACGAAUAUUAUUAACCAUGAAGCUUCCAGGGAUUUUUGAGUACCAACACCUUCGGCACUUGGAGAGCCACAGUAGGGCAAUAUAGCAGCCCAUAUGUGGAGAUGUCAAAAUUUUCUCAAACAAAAUUUUAUACCUCUACGUGGACUGCAAAUGAGCUCCAUUAACUCUAUGCAUCUUAGGAAUGUAAGGUAUGUAAAUCCACAUUAUGUAAAAUUUCUUCCCAAGUUCCUAUACUAAGAUUUUAUAUCAAAUAUAUCUACAUAAUAAAUAGCAUUAAAGCAGGAGUACAGCAGCAGAAUAGAACAGUAUGUGUUUUAUUUGGUUAUUUGGUUUGCCUUAAUUAUAGUAGAAAAAGGUGAUUCUCCUUGCUUUUUAAACCAGAUCAAUUUUAUCCACUUGAUCAAUAAGCCAUAUAUGGUACAACAGGCUAAGUUUGAGCAAAUUGAAGAUUUGACCAGAUCUGCACAAUUUUUUUUAAACUACUUUCUAUUAGGUGUAAUGAGACAUUAUUAGGGAAGCACCGUUAUCAUAGAUCCAUGGAUUCAAGUGCCAGUCAGCACAGUCAACAUAACGUGACACAAAUCAUGCCAAUGCCUUACCAAUACAUGGCACUAGCACAGUAGCAGAUAUGUAAUGAUGCUUGGCACUCCACAAUGCCAUUGUGUGCCGAGCACUGGCACCAUCAACACAGUACAGCUUGGUACACAUCCUGUUGAUGCUAGGCCAGCACGAUUCUGGCAUGCAAUGUGUAAGUCAUUGACCAGACCUAUAACAUUGCUAAUUCAAGUUAAGUCUCACUUUACAACAUAUAGGCAACCACCAAUAACUCUAGAUUAAAAUUAAGGGUUGGAAAAAACCACGUCGAGUUUGGGGCCUUUGGGCCAGGCCCGAAUCUAACUGAGACACUUGCAUUUCUACAAGAAAGUUAGUAAAAUGAAGGUCAAUCUUUUGUCAAAUCCCUCUUGAUUAGAGUUCUCUAUAGCCAACCAAAAUUUGAUUGGAAGGGCUUGGGCUACUGUUUGCUCCUCCACGAAUUACUGAAAAUAGAUGAUAUCAAUAUUUUGCACAAUAGUAUUGUCUGAUAAGACUUCGGAUGAAAUAUUGCAUUAUGACUUCCUAAAACAAGCCUUUUGCCAAAACAUUAAAUUAAGUUCUUGUACGCACAAAUAUUGAAAAUGCUUGACGAUUAUAAUUAUGAUUAUGAUUAUGUAAAAAUUUUUAAACAUCACAUAAUUCAAUUUGCAAUGGAUUUGUAAGAGCGAUGUUGAUAGAACGUUGCAUAUUGGUUAUGAUUUAUAGCCAUAUAAAUUAUAAAGCAGAUAGGAAAAGAAAAAUUAAGAACAAGAAGUCCUAUAAGCAUAUAUAGUCAAAAAAAAUAAAUGGUCAAAACUUACGUGUAACAUUCUUAAAAGGUUAAUUAGUAAAACAAGCGAAGGAAUCAUGAGAUCAACUAAGCUCUGUUCAUGACUUCGUUCCAAUAGCAAAUCAGUCGUAGUGUUACAUUCUGCACCUUCAUCAAGUAGGUAAUCUGAAGAAUCAAACAGGAUCCAAAAUUCAGAAAAAUAGAACUCAGAAGAAAAAGAAAAAACUAUUCAAUGUAAAGCAAGCAAAAGAAAAGAGUCACAUGCCAAAAUAAAUGAUACACCCAGAUCUAAAGGGAAUUCUGCAUCCAAUAGCAUGAUGGAUAAAAAAGAUCUAUCUAACUUAAGGCAUGCCAAAUACGUUAGCUUUAGAGGAAGAUUUGAUCUAGAAGAAGGAGCCAUACUUGCUCAUUAAGAGGGAGGAUAUACAUUUAAAUGAAAGCUCUUCAGGGAAGGGGGGGAAGGGGAGGUUACUAUUUGCUGUUGCAUGCUUUACUUAAAAAUUUUCUACUGCAGUCGCUUUGCUCCUUAGUUUCUUCUUCCAUAUACACUAAUUGUAGUCAUUUAGUUUAGUUCAUUAGUGAAACCCAGCUAAGGGAAUACUGUAACAUACAAAGUAAAAAGAGCGUUAUGAAUGCCAUGAGUUCCCCCAAAGCUUGCUGUUGCAAUUCCUUUAUCUUUUCCCCUCACAGCCCCGAAUCGACUUAUAAGUCUUGCUUGCUUUACUUUGACUAGGGAAGAAAAUACGGUCUAUCUAUCUCAUUAUUUUGCGUUGAAUCCCUGUAAGUGUGUUAGGAAUAUUUCAAAAUUCCAAGUCUGCCCUUCUUUGUCUUUUGCCUUUUGUCUAGUGUACUUUCUUUAGUCCCACAUUGGAAAGAGAUAAAACCGAAAAGGUCUUUAUGUAGUAUUCAACCUUUUAACUUGGUGAAGCAAAGAAAGUAAAUAGCCCACGCGUGCACGAGCCCAAUGGAGGUCCAAGGCAAAAUUGGCGAAUCCGAUUCGGAAACGUUUAAUCGAGCGCGUCGCGCUUGAUCAUCACGUGCGGGAGGUGGGCUUGAGUCAGGUUUCUUUUUGCCGUUUUAUUUUUUGAAUUGUUUUGUUUUGUCUCUUGUUUUCUGUGUUCCCGAGAGGACUUCUUUGUUCUGUCUUCCUGAGCGGUUCUGGGCUGUUCGAUAGAAUCAUUGCAUCUGUGAGUGUACGCUUGGAGUGAUCCAGUUGUUGUAUCCUGGAGGAUAGGCCGCCAUUACCUGCUACACCGAGAUCCAUUCUCCGAGGGGCGCGAUCUAUUCUUAAGGACAGUGAAAUCACGCCUCAACUGAUAAGUUCUUCCUACUUUCAUUUAUUAUUUAUACAACAAGUGUACUUCCUACUAGCUUGAUUCUAGGUCUACCUGUUAAGUUUAGUCUUCUUUUUGCUAACUUGAGUCCACAAGGCAAGUGGCUGAUCAUAAUUCUUCUUUGCAAGUGCUUGAUUCCUGUGGAAUUCCCUGAUUCCUGUGGAAUUCCAUUAACAAUCUUAAAAUAAAUGAAAGCCUUUUUGAGAUACUUGUUACAAAGUAAGUUCAAUAUUUCACUGUGUGGGACAGCUAACUAACAAAAGCAAUUCCUGGAGGGGAAUCGAUUGAAGAGAUCGCCUGCCCUUGGUAAAAUUCCUUACUCAAAAGGACUAGAUUGUUAAGCUGCCUUCCAAGCUGCACCACUAUAUGAAUGGCUUGAACAAAUAAGAUAUGAGAGAGCACUUUCUCCUUCUAUUUCCAAAGGCUAAGAAGUUAAUGCCCGAGAAAGAGCACUUGAAAGUAAAACCCAAUCUUUUGCACGGUAGCUCCCAUAGAAUACUCAAACCCUGGCUCUUUCAUUUAAUCUGCUUUGCAUAUUUGCCUUCCUGAAACUUCCUAUGCUGCAAACAAAUUGACACAGAGAACAAUUUUGACAUCCAUCCAUCAAGAGCACUUUACCCUAGCAUGAAAAGUGUUGCUUAAUGGAAUUCCCUUUCUUGCUUCAAACUAGCCUACUUGAUUGAACAGUGCUUCUUGCUAAAGAGCAACUAUUGUAAACAACGACUAAUUUAAUCACCAGACAAGUGAUUGCAAGUCAUAAAAUGGAUUACUCAAUGAAUAGAGCUUUAUUUUGCCUUUUCGCAGGAAUACUCUAAUACAGGUAAGGAAAUGUCGUAAAGCUCCUGCCUCGAGGAUGGCAACUAAAGAGUUAUAGGCCGGAUACUAGCUCUUGUCUUUUAGUAGCUAGCUGUGCUAACAAUAGCCCUCCUCUUCUCUUAUAAGAGAUAGGUGCUCUCUCUAUGACCAAUUUUCCUUAAGGCAUUCCUGAUUGUAGACCACCCUUACGUUUACCUUUUAAUUAAAGCCCUUUGAUGCGCGAGGAACUGUCUGAAAGUGAAAGGCAUCAUUGGCAGAUGCCCAAGCGAAAAUUUUUGUGUAAUUGGGGAUAGGUAGGCACAGUCAAUCGGCAAUCAAACAAUUCAUUUAACAAUAUCGGUAUAAUGAGUGCCUCUUCCAAAACCAUAUCGCUCCUUUAUUCGUAUACUGAUUGCACCUAUUAGGCAAGAUGGAUUGGCUUAAGGCCCGAAUGUUUGACUUAACCAUUCCCUCACUUGAUUUGGGUAACCUUCUGAUAUCUGUAAUCCAUGCUAAGGAACUCGGUCAUGAAAUGGCGGAUCUCUCUUAUAACAUAUGGAAAGCAAGCAAGAACGGAACGAGUGCUUACCCUAUCGACCAAACGAGCAAAGCUACUAUCCGCAAAUCAUUUACUUCUUCACACAAGAACUACAAGAAUGGUAAUCUACUGGGCUAGCCUCCCAUUGUGUACCAAUGCUUGAACAGGACCAUUGACCUUUAUCAAAAGAAAGAAGAGUUGUUCGCCAGUUUCCUAUAGUCGACCAAUAUAGCUCAAGGUUCAAUUAUCUAAUUGCCAAAAAUGCCAGAAAAGCAAACACAAAAUGGAGAAAAGGAUGAGGAACAAUUAUCUAAUUGCCUACCAAGGUUCGAUGUACCACUCUGAACCGCCCAAUUAGGGACGUAACCGCACCAUCCAGUUUGGAACAUACCAAAUCAUAUUGAGUGAACCGAAACAGUACAGCCCCUCAGUUCAAAAAAUCGAGCGAACCGCUCCGAACCAGCCGGUUCAAAGCAGUGCCGAUACAAACCGCCUAGUCCGCACCAAUACAGCGCUAGUUCAAGCUCCACGCCUCCUUGCUUCAAUAAUUGAGAGGGGGUGCAGAGGUCUCCCAUGGCUUCUCAACCCUCUCAUUUUUUUUAAAAUCUAGAAAAUCUCCAAAAAUGCUGAAUGUCACUGAUUUCACACUAGCACGAAGCUCAAAUUAGGUAAAAUACCUAUCCCCCUCCUCUUUUCAGGCCUUUUUUUUGUUUACAGACCAGAAAUGAGCAUUAAAAUGACAAAAUAGCAGAUCAUGCCAAAUUUUCCGAUUUUGGCAAGAUUUCAUGAUUUGGUGUAAAUUUAGGAAUGAUCUACACCAAAAAAUGCUGAACCGGCCCGUACCAAACCGGUCCAAUCUCUGACUAGGUCGGUACGGCCUCAGAAAACGGUUACGGCCCUACCGGACCAGUUCUAUCUGAUUCGACCAGGACUUGGUGCGGAUCGGCACCGAGUCCUGUUCAAUUUGCUACAGGUCCGGAUCGGUACCGGUCUAGUGGCCAACCGGUACGUCAACCGGUAGCGGUUCGGCGUCCUUGACCUACACAAUACCACCAAAAUCAUAAAUUUUUAUUACUCUAUAAUUUUCAAAUUAAAAAUAUUUUUUGGAUUAAAAAUUAAAAAAAUUAGUCAAAAAAAUUCUGUAAAAUCGGUAGCAUGUUAGGGGUAUGUAUAUGCUACCUCUAUCAAAAUUUGAUGUUAGUUUGGUUAACUUUGGGUUUGAUCAUAUGUAUAUCACAUAGGACCAAAUUUGAAUAAAUUUGGUAAGUACGCAGUGCACUGUGCAUGCCCACAAGCUUAGAAAAAUACACGCAACAUUCUUGACAGGGUGCUACAAGGAUCCAAGAUCAAAUUAAUUUUCUAAAUAUUUAUAAUAAAAAAUUAAUUUUUAAAUAAAAUAGAAAACAAAAUAAUAAAAAGUUAUGAAAAAUUAGUUUUAUGUAUGGAUAAUUCAGAAGUAUUUCCUAAACUAGAAAAGUAAUUUUUUUCAUUUCAGUAAAAAUUCACUAUUUUAAAAAAUAAAUAAAAAGCAGUACUCUAAGAUAAAAUUAUAUGUAGCAUUUCUAUUAGGGUUCUAAACUAUUCCGAAUUAAAAUAAAUUUUCUAGAUAUUUUCAGUUUAAUAUUAAUCUAUCAAUUAAAUUUUAAUUAUAAAUUAUUUAAUGAGGUGUAGGAAUUAUAAAAAAUUAUUUUACAAGUCGACCGAUGCUUCGAAUCAAGUGCACAAUGCUCGGUACAUCCUCAAAUUGAUAGAUCAGGUGACUGAUCAAGCAAGAGACCAGAAUAUCGAGGAAGGAGUCACCAAUAAUGGCCCAAAUUGUUAGAUGAGGUGACUGAUCAAGCAAGAGACCAGAAUACCAAGGAAGUACUAACUAAUAAUGGCUCGCAGUACAAAGUCGUCCGGAGAUCUUGAUGGAUAGGAGGCCACAUAUAUUCUAGACCCCAUAUGCUACACAUUGCAUUGAUCUCAUGUUGAUGGACAUCAAAAAGAUUUACAGAGUGAAGCAGAUCGUGGAGUCAACCCAGUCCAUCACAUAGCUCGUCUACAACCACACAUGGGUGCUUGCUUCGAUGAGGAAGUACACAUAGGGUGACAUCUUAUAGCCAACAGUCACAUGCUAUGCGACGAACUACAUUUCACUGGAUAGCCUCCGUAAGAACAUAUAUAUACACACAUCAAAUAUUUGUCUGUACCAAGUGGCAAGAGACCAGGUAUGCCCGAGUUGGUAUUGAGGGGAGUCAGGUGGAAGGCUUAGGCCCUGUUUGGAGGAGCUUUUGGAACCCUCCAAAAGUACUUUUAGAUGAAAAACUGUGUUUGGUAAAUUUUUCAAAAAGCUGUUUCAGCUUUUGGGAGGAAGCUCCAAUUUGNNNNNNNNNNNNNNNNNNNNNNNNNNNNNNNNNNNNNNNNNNNNNNNNNNNNNNNNNNNNNNNNNNNNNNNNNNNNNNNNNNNNNNNNNNNNNNNNNNNNNNNNNNNNNNNNNNNNNNNNNNNNNNNNNNNNNNNNNNNNNNNNNNNNNNNNNNNNNNNNNNNNNNNNNNNNNNNNNNNNNNNNNNNNNNNNNNNNNNNNNNNNNNNNNNNNNNNNNNNNNNNNNNNNNNNNNNNNNNNNNNNNNNNNNNNNNNNNNNNNNNNNNNNNNNNNNNNNNNNNNNNNNNNNNNNNNNNNNNNNNNNNNNNNNNNNNNNNNNNNNNNNNNNNNNNNNNNNNNNNNNNNNNNNNNNNNNNNNNNNNNNNNNNNNNNNNNNNNNNNNNNNNNNNNNNNNNNNNNNNNNNNNNNNNNNNNNNNNNNNNNNNNNNNNNNNNNNNNNNNNNNNNNNNNNNNNNNNNNNNNNNNNNNNNNNNNNNNNNNNNNNNNNNNNNNNNNNNNNNNNNNNNNNNNNNNNNNNNNNNNNNNNNNNNNNNNNNNNNNNNNNNNNNNNNNNNNNNNNNNNNNNNNNNNNNNNNNNNNNNNNNNNNNNNNNNNNNNNNNNNNNNNNNNNNNNNNNNNNNNNNNNNNNNNNNNNNNNNNNNNNNNNNNNNNNNNNNNNNNNNNNNNNNNNNNNNNNNNNNNNNNNNNNNNNNNNNNNNNNNNNNNNNNNNNNNNNNNNNNNNNNNNNNNNNNNNNNNNNNNNNNNNNNNNNNNNNNNNNNNNNNNNNNNNNNNNNNNNNNNNNNNNNNNNNNNNNNNNNNNNNNNNNNNNNNNNNNNNNNNNNNNNNNNNNNNNNNNNNNNNNNNNNNNNNNNNNNNNNNNNNNNNNNNNNNNNNNNNNNNNNNNNNNNNNNNNNNNNNNNNNNNNNNNNNNNNNNNNNNNNNNNNNNNNNNNNNNNNNNNNNNNNNNNNNNNNNNNNNNNNNNNNNNNNNNNNNNNNNNNNNNNNNNNNNNNNNNNNNNNNNNNNNNNNNNNNNNNNNNNNNNNNNNNNNNNNNNNNNNNNNNNNNNNNNNNNNNNNNNNNNNNNNNNNNNNNNNNNNNNNNNNNNNNNNNNNNNNNNNNNNNNNNNNNNNNNNNNNNNNNNNNNNNNNNNNNNNNNNNNNNNNNNNNNNNNNNNNNNNNNNNNNNNNNNNNNNNNNNNNNNNNNNNNNNNNNNNNNNNNNNNNNUUAUUAUGUUCAGUUGUAUAAUACUAUGCAAUGUCCUUUAUGGUAAUUUUGUCAUACAAAAGUACUUUCUCAGUUUGUUUACCAAACACAAAACAAAGUACCACAGCACUUUACGAAUGUAGUUACCAAAUAGCAAAUAGCUUUUUAUAACAGCUCUACUUCAGACAGCUCUACUUCCAACAGCUCUACUUCCAAUAGCUCUACUGCCAACAGCUUCCCCAAACAGGGCCUUAGCGACGAGCCAACAAUUUUGGCAAUGAACCUACGGGAUCGUGAAGGCUAUCAAGCCAUUAUAUGGAAUGCUAAAGGCAAUGGACAGCGAGAGAUAUACCCAGAAGGACUUCCGCUACCACAUGAUGAUGGUUGUAAAGGCCCGAAUCAGGAAAGCAAAUCUCAGACAUGCACAGGAGUAUAUUGAUAUCAUCAACCAUAGGUGGGCAAGGUUCGCGGUACCGAUGGUACCGACGUACUGGUCGGCUCCGGUAACGGUACGGUACCGGUGCCGAACCGAUACAGUACCAAUGGGGCACAUUCGGCCUGGUUUCGACCCCAUCNNNNNNNNNNNNNNNNNNNNNNNNNNNNNNUUUUGGAUAUUUUUUUGAUGUUUUUAUGUUUAGGUUUAAGGUUAAAAGUAGAUGAUGCAACUUAUUACUUCCAAAUGAUUCAAAUAAUGAGAUGAAGAACAUAAAAUAUUUUCAAAUUAAGAUACAAUUAAUUACAUACAUUUAAAGUACUCUCGAAUAUCUAAAAUCGAGUUGAGUGGCACUUUUCAAAGUGCCCCAGUGUGGCACUUUGAAAAGUGCCCUAGUGUGGCACUUUUGAAAGUGCCAGCCUCUGGCCAGCACUGUGGCAUUUUCAAAGUGCCACAGCANNNNNNNNNNNNNNNNNNNNNNNNNNGGUGCGAACCGGCUCGGUUCGCACCGGUUCGAGCUCAUACCGGUGCGAACCGAGCGGUUCGCACCGGUUCACACAUGUACCGGUGCGAACCGAGCCGGUUCGCACCGGUACAAGGCUCAAACCAAACGGUUCCGACCCAUAUUGGGUCGGAACCGUUUUACACCCUUGUACCGGACCGGUACGGCUCGGUACCGGUCCGGUACGGGCUGAACCGACCGGUACAGGUCGGUUCAGCAGACCUUGUAGGUGGGAUUAUCAGAUAGGAAAGAAAUUGCAUCUAGCAUGUAAUUUCACUUGUAUACCUAUUUGCCAUAUAUUGUUGUAUGUUUUAAAUACAAGUGUUACACUAAAUCAAAUGCAAACUAUAUUAACCUACUAUCUAAACCCGAGGUUCCAGUACACCAUCCUUACGAGAUACAUAGAUGAGGAACUUCAAGUUGCCCUGCACAAUGUUACUUAUAAGAUGGAGCCUAAUCCAGAGGUCGCUGCCAUAUAUUUGGAAGAGGUGAGUUAACUUUGCCGACUUUGUGAACUCGUGUAAACAAUUGACAUCCGUAACAUGUAUGACAUAUCUUUUCCAAAGAUGAAAAUAUUUAGAGAGGGCUCGGCUAGCUUCAGCGUCCUAGCAACUGUAGCAAGCAAACAAAAAAAUGGGUCCAUGUAUUUUAAGGUAUGGACUACAGUUGUUACUUAGAUGUCAUACAAUUAGUAUUUAGUAGUGUCUAAUAUGUACUUUUCUUGAAUGCUUUUGAAGCUGAAUGGUGUAUCCACUUCGACCUGUCUUUCGAGUUGAAUUUUGCUAUCGGCAUCUUUAGGUGGUCAUAAAGUCUAACAGAUAAGUCCUCAUGGAGUAGCUAUCCAGUGAACCCCAAAAGGAUCGAGUCCUAUCGCAAUAUAGACCGGUUGGAAAGUCGGUGAGAUGCACCUCUAAAGUACUAUUAUCAUCAGGAUGUCUAAGAGUCAUAUCGACACUCCACCAAAUUUUAGAUGUCAGUAUAUAUUUUGUACUUUAAAUGCAUUAAAAUCAAUUCAAUUUGUUAUAUUGUAUAUAUUUCUACUUAUAAAUACAUAGGUUGGACAAGUCCUAGUUCCAUUUCAUGAUAAAAUAAAUAAGGAUAAAAUAACAAAUUGGACAACAAACCAAGAAAAUUUUUAAGUACAAAUCCAAAAAAAUUAUUGAAAAACAAUGGAAAAACAAAAAAAAUCAAAAUGAUGUACUAGUCAUGGGUACGCCAUGGCAUACCAAGUGUCAGUACAAUACCGAAUUGGUAUCGUACUGUAUCGCAUGCUAACCGAUACAAAUCAUCGCACCAAUACAGCAGACCUUAAACUAAUCCACUCAUGGCAAGUAGAAGACAACCUUAGAUUCAACAUCAAGUUGCAAGAGUAGCUUGGCAGCCUUCUCCCAUAAUACAAUGGUCACUCCAUUGUGGCUUAUGCACAAAGUAGGAGGAAACUCAAACCAAAACCAUGUAUGCCAACCACGCAGAAGUCAAAGGAAUUUCAAAGCAGGAAAGAGAAGAUUAUCUAUCUCAAUCUUUGUGUCAUGGCAAUAAAUACCAAGUUCAUAAAAUGAGAAAACAGAAACCCUAUCCCAAAUAGCUGAUAAGUAUUAUGUAAUCAUAACGACAACCAUGAUUAUCAGCCUUGACCUAAUUAUCUGAUACUUGUAUGUGAUCUCUCCAAUUGUUAUGUAACCUAAGACCCUUUUUGUAUGAUAAACAUCCAAGAUCCAACACUUCAAAUGAGAUAUAGUUGGUGCACAACUCUGCUAGGAUCCACAAUCAACUGAAGAGGCAGCAAGAUGACAGUUUAAAGAUGGCAUGCCAACCCUCCAUGGAUGGAGUUAUAUCAAGGAAUAAGUGCUUAGAUGGUACUUGUCAAGUCAAAAAAAACAGCAUGGAGCACUCACCGUAGUUGUUUGACAAGCGCUCAAGCAUAAAUUUACAAUUGACUAAAACCACAUAAACAAGAUUAACAGCACCUUCUUCAAAAAGAGAGGCAGCCACAGCCUGCAUCAACAAAACAAUGAUCAGAAAUUGUAUAAAAUCAAAAGAAAAAGGUCGACAUAAGAAAUUUAUAUUGAUUGAAUAUUGAAAAAUAUUCUUACUGCAUCUUCUGAAAUAAAUGCCAAAAUUCGAAAUGCUGUUGUCAAUUGAACUAUAGAGGUACUGCAGAGUGUGACUCCAUCAAAGUACUUAUCAGUGACAAACUUUCCAAGUAGAUUAUCCACAGCUUGAGAAUCAGAAGUGUUGGUUGAAUCCCCAACAACAUUCUCAACGUCAAUUGUUGGUUGAGCAUCUCCACCAGAAGCUAAAACGGCAGCAUAUCUAAGAAGCCCUACAGCCCCAUUUCUGUGAUAAACAACACCAGCAUCUAUCCACUCCAACAACCUUGUAGGAGCAUCCUUUUUAUUGGACCCUGGAGAAGAAGAGUGUAAAGCCUUAUGAAGUUCCACAGCAUGUCCAAUCCAUGAUUUGAGAGAAGAUGCAGUUGAAUCUGUGACCAUGACUUCAAAAAUCUCUGCUGCUGAAUGGAAGAUGGCAAGACUCAGCGGAGGAGUUCCUGAAAUUCAGAACUCUCAAUAAGUAUUUGCACAGAUUAAACAAAGAGCCACCAAGCUGGAGCCAAAAAGAGUGAAGGAGUAGAACUGAAUAAGACAAUUAUAGCAAAAAUUGACUUAUACUCUACCGCUGUUCAUAGCACUUGGCUCUAUCUCUUUGAAAGAACGCAACGCGUCUAGAAGGACCAAUAUUGCCUGCAGCACCAUAGUCGGCAUAAUUAUGUAAACUACAACAGUUGGGUAAAAAUUCAAUGAUGUUCCUGCAGGUCAGAAAUCAAGUACAAUACCUCCGGAAAAUGGCUCAGAGUUAACAACGCUUGACGACCAGAAUGAGACCUGCAUAUCAGCUCUAGAUGCUUCACGAGCAAUUUAACUUUCAAAAACAAAAUAUAAUGCCAGAUCAAUCUACCUGGAAAUGCCACAAAGUUCCCAAAGUACCCAUAAAAGUUCGUCAGAAUGAGUUGUUGUUGCAAGCAAGCGAUCAAUAGCAGUCCCCUACAGUGAGGCAAAAUUACAACAAAUAGGUAGAAGAACCGCAUAGGAUGGAAGGAUCAAAAUCCAUCUCCAUCUGUCUGUAUAUACUUAUUAAUGUAAAUAUGCAUUACUGUAUGUGUGCACUGUAUGCAAGGUUCUACAUUCCAUUGCAAGUUUAAUAUUCCCAUUCUGACUUUCAGAGUUUCAGACAACAAAAUCAGGAAAAAAGUAAAAUUAGGAAAAAUAAUUGAAAAAUAAAACAAUCCAAGAAAAAGAAUAUCACAUAAUAUUAUGGCCAAAUUUUGUUUCCUUUGGAAUCAUUUAAUGAAUAGUGUUGCUGUAUCGCUGUUCUCAAACUAAAAAGUCUGAAACUAAAAAACAAACUAAAAGUUUGAAAUUAAAAAUUAAAAGUAUGUUGAAACAAAUUAAUAUGUCCAAAAAUCAUGUUAUACAUAUAUUUCAAGUGUACUAUGUCAGUCAAUUUUAUGAUAGCAAUUUAAUUAUAAAUUUUGUAAGUGUGUUUAUGUUUCAAAGAGUAAAGUGGACUUUCAGAGUUCAGUCAACAAAAUCAGGAAAAAAGUGAAAUUAGGAAAAAUAAUUGAAAAAUAAAACAAUCCGAGAAAGAGCAUAUCACAUAAUAUUAUAGUUUAAUUUUGUUUCCUUUGGAAUCAUUUAAUGUAUAGUGUUGCUGUAUCGCUGUUCUCAAACUAAAACGUCUGAAACUAAAAAACAAACUAAAAGUUUGAAAUUAAAAAUUAAAAGCAUGCUGAAACCAAUUAAUAUGUCCAAAAAUCAUGUUAUACAUAAAUUUCAAGUGUACUAUGGCAUUCAAUUUUAUGAUAGCAAUUUAAUUAUAAAUUUUGUAAGUGUGUUUAUGUUUCAAAGAGUAAAGUGUACAAUUUCAUCUUCUUUUUUCCAAUUUCUUAACUUUGUCUUGAAUUUCAUAGAAUUGAACUCAAAAUAGCUUUCAAUGUUUUCAAACUUUGCCCCAAAAAAAAUUCCAAAUAGCCUUAACAAAAUGCUUCUUAUAUUUAAAUAGCAUAUUUAUGCAAUUAAAAAUCAGAGUCCUGAAUAAAAAGCAAUUGGUUUCUAUCUCAUAUUUAUAAUUCUGAUUAAUAUCAAUUAUAUGCAGAAAUCCUAAUCUCUUCAUCUUUUCUGCUUCACUCAUUCAUAUUAUCAACUACGUGCCAAUUUGAACGUAUUGAGAAAGCCUCUCUCUUUCUCUUUAUAGAUAUAUUACACAUAUUAUAUAUAUUAUGUUACAUAUAUUAUAUUAUAUAUUUUAUAGUACAUAUUAUAUUAUAUAUAAACACACGCGCGAUCUUCCUUUUUUGUAUAUCUAUAAGCAUGUAUAUAUAUAUAUAUAUAUAUAUAUAUAUAUAUAUAUAUAUAUAUANNNNNNNNNNNNNNNNNNNNUAUAUAUAUAUAUAUAUAUAUAUAUAUAUAUAUAUAUAUAUAUAUGUUUUGAAGACUUAUAAGCCACGCUAUGAAAUUAUGGGAAAGAAUAAUUGAUAAACAGAUGUGUAGAAUUGAUAACAAAUGUAGAGAAAAGGAAGAUGGUCUACAAAAGGCCUUUAUUGAUUUAAAGAAAGCUUAUGAUAGGGUAGCAAGAAAAGUAAUUUUGGGGGGUUUAAGAAGGGGGUACACAAAUGGUAUAUUAAAAUAAUUUAAAAAAUACAUGCCAGGACAUUAACCAAUUAAAAUGGUAUUGCAUCAAUGAUCAACACCAAACCAUAUCUUUUUGCAGUGGUUUUAGAUGAACUGACUACUAAUGUUUACGAAGAUAUACUGUGAUGCAUAUUACUUGCAGAUAAUAUAGUGCUGAUGGAUGAAAAGAGAACUAUAUUAUACACAAAUUUGGAUUUAUGGAGGAAAAGAUAAGGGUUUAAAACUAGUUGAAAAAAAGAUAGACUAUAUGACAUGUAAAUUUAGUGAAAAAUGAACAUGAAGAUGUAAUACAAAUGAAGACUGAUGGACAAAAGAUACCACAAGUUGACCGGCUUCCUUAUUCAAGAUCUACUAUACAAAAUAAUGGGAAGAUAAUACAUGAAGUGCAUACCUUAAAGACUCAAGGGAAAAUGUUAUAGAACAAUAGUAAGGCAUCCAAUGUUGUAAGGCUCAAAGUCCCGGGCAAUAAAAAAAGUACAUGAAAAGAAGUCCAGUGUGGUAGAAAUAAGCAUGUUAAGAUGGAUGUGUGGUACAUAUAGAGGAAUAGAUUAAGAAAUGAAAAUAUUAGGAGCUAUCAGAUUUCUGCAAAUUAAGGACAAGGUCAAAAAAUAUCAAUAAAGAUGGUAUGGACAUGUACAACAAAACCUUAGAAGGCUCCAAUGUGAAAAUGUACUCUAGUUUGGGCUGAAGGUUGUAAGAAAAGGGAGGGAAAGGCCUAAAGUAACAUGGAUAGAGUUGUGUGGAAGGAUAUGAAGAGCCUUGGAAUAACAUCAGAGUUUUCCCUAAAUAGGAAUAAUAGGUAAAUCAUGGUCCAUAAAACGAAACCCAAAUAUUUAUGAAAAGGUCAAAUGAUUAUGGCUAUGGCAAAUUAUUGAGAUAUACUCAACUGAUAUUGGAUGAAUAACAGAUAAGACUUGGAAAUCAUAGAAUUACUUGAACAAGUAACUCGCAUCGACAAAAUGCCACUAUGAGUUAGAAUCCCUUAUUAUAACUCAAAAAAAGAAAAUGAUUCGAAAUUGAUGCGACUUCCUAAGCAUGCUCAAAGAAGUAAAGAAUUUUUCUCAAACUGACUUAAAAACGCUAAACCAACAUACUUGGCAUGCAUGAUUAUUUUCAUCUGAAACCAACUGAAAUUACUAAAAACUAGUUAGUUUGGGCCAAAACUAGUUAGUUUUGGCCAAAACUAAUCACAACCGGCAAAACCAAAAAUCAGGGCUCGGUUCUGUUGCUGAAACAAAUUGAUUUUGACAAUAACUUGAAAUCUUAGUUCUACAUACACGUUUACAUAAACGUACAUGUAUGUAUGUAUGUAUGUAUGUGAUAUAAACUGACCACUUUAAGAUGGAGCUCUAUGAUCAUCCCAACUUCCUGUGGAUGACAGAAGAAUCCCUUUGACAAAAAAACAGCCGCCUGCCUAAGAGCCAUGCAUUCUUUCUUACUUGUAUCUUCAGGAUCUCGAAGAGAAAGAAUUAUGAGCUCAGUUGCUUCAGGUUGAACAAGUAAGAAAGAUAAGCCUGGUAAACAAAAGCAGAUUUUAUUGAUGUCAUCUUGGUUAUUAUCAUUAGAAAACGGGGAAUCAAUAGAUAGAGAAUCAACAAUAAGACCUGAACGAUAGAAAAGGAGAGAGAGAAGUAUGGAUUCAAUUGAUGUGGCAAUUUCCAUAAAUAUGUCUGCUGUGCUCCCACUUGCUGACCGUAGUACAGGCGAUGACAACAAAGCAGCUGACAAAGGAAAAAAGCCUCUUUCCUGUUUUGACAAGGUCAAUUUGAUUUAGCAAACUGUUAUUCCAAAUAGCAAUUUAAAUCAAAAUGUGUAUACCGAACCAUAAUAGGUGCACAGAUUUUAACCAGAAAAAGACUGAGAACAGCAUAAAAAUUCUACCAAGGCACAAUAAGCAAUCUUUAGGCACGCUUAAGUAAAUGCUUGCAAUUUUUACUCUAGAUUUAAUUAAAACUCGCACCUUAGAAAUAGAACAAGGUAUAUUACAUAGAUCUAAAAAUUUUAUUAUGAAGUUGUUUCUUUUGGAGAAUUCGCCAUGUCAAAGUAGAAAUGCGUUGAACAAGAAACCUUAAGCUUAAGCAAGGCAAAAUUUGGGGGGAAAACACAUCAUAAUCUGAAUUUAUGGCACUUUUCACAAACUAGUGAGCUUUCAAGCUGUCUCCACACUCCAUGGACAAGUCAGGGUUGAUAGGUUUUUCAAGAUGCAGGAAUUUGAGACAGUAGGCAUAUUAGCAUGAUUACCUUAAGUAGAGAUAACAAAUAUGUGUCGAUGUCCCAUCUAGCAAAACUAUACUUGCAUGUUGUAAUAUAGUUGACAGUUGCUUUGUAAGACAACAGACCCUCUGAUUGGCCAGAAAUAGAUAAUCUUUGUGCAAAAGCCAACGGAGAAGAAUCUUCAAUUGGUCCAAACAUAUUAAUCAAUUUCUGCAUCAAAUCUUGUCAGCAAAAUAUUGCACAGAAACAUGGAUACAAAAUAACAAUUAACAUAAACAGUAUAAUAGGUACACACUACACGCAUGCAGGUGCUUGCACACAUGUCCACAUUGACAUGCACAUGAUUAGAUGCAUGCUUAACACGCAUAAACACAUGGAGUUUACUUUUCCCAAGAUCCAACCCAGCCCCCAGCCGAACAAGACCGUAUUAUAACUGCAAACAUUCAAUGCCUAUCCCAACUCAACAGGACCAAACUCCAGCAAAGAUAUGGACCAAAUGAGUCAGGGAGCUCCUCAACCAAACAAUUCUUGAUGUGACUUGUACAUACAUGCUAAAUUUGCCCAAUAAGCAGACUAAAUGUAAUGGUUCGCUAAAAUACAGUUAAUAGGUUAUUGAAUCACUAUAACGAACAAAUUAUUAUUAUCAUUACGAAGGAAUCGCCCUAUUUAUUGCCAAAAUGCAGGCUUCAUUUGGAUCCAUUAGCAUUGCAAUGAGUUAAGCAGUAUACUGCUUUGUUUAUCAUCACAUGACGUCAUAUUGAGCCACAAUGCGAAAUUUUCUGAUGGACUUAUACUGCGAUAAAUUGUCACGAGUGUUUAUCAAAAUUGAUGCUUAAUCAAUUGCUCAGUUAUAGGUUGGAUGCAUACUUUAUUACCCACAUGAGAGAUCUGUAGUGUAAUCUAAUUAACGACUAUGAAUAUCUAAAAAACUCCUAACCCCAAAAUUAUUCAAAUCCAAACCAAUUCUAACCGAAUUUCAAAAAUAUGGGACAGACUUUGAUAUAGAUGAGUCCUAUUUUAACCCAACAUUCUUGUUGUAUCCUAGUAGUAGAAUCAUCAACUUGAAACAGUAGUUUAUAAACAGGUUGGGGUUGCCUCUGGAUCAAACAAAUCCAAAGACCAACCAAACCUAUUUGCAGCCUGACCACAAAAGCCAUCAAUGCAGAACUAACCAGAAUUUGCUUGAGCUUAGAAUUUGCGGCAGCAAGUGAUUCACUUCCAUCAGUACUAAUAUGGAAAUCAGAAGAAAGAUUAGCCAAUACACAUAGCACUGCAGCCUGCAGACAAAAAAAAACAAAGGGUCAGAAGUAACAGUAAGUAAAAUGUCCAAAAUCGCAUGAUCAAUGUUUUUGACGAGCAGUAACAAACCUCAAAUUUCGAGACAGUCUCAUAGAAAUGCAAACGGUGUAGGAUAUAGGUUACACGAGAGGCAACAUCAUGCCGUUGCCAUCCCAGUAACAGCUUCAGUAAAUAACAAUAACCUUCACUUUUACCAACUGGAACAUUCUCAUCUCCACGUGGCCACCAUCCCAGAAAUCCAUCACAUCCAAUGCCAUGCCGAGUAGCAUGUUCCACAAUACCAAGCAAUAUUAAUGUGAUAGCUGUAGAAUUUUGUGCCUCAUAACAAAAUAAAUCAACAAUUUGCUCCAUUCCACCAUUAUCAACAAAAUGAAAGCAACUCUCUCGUGAAGAGCAGAGGACAAGAACAAUGCUCCAUGCUAAAAUCAUGUUUUUGAUCUGAAAGAAAUAAUAAUUGUAAGAUACAUCACAAAUCUGGAAGAGAAAUAGAUGGACAUGCCUUUCCAUUGAUCAAACAUAAUUCUAACCCAAAAUACUUGCGAACCAAAUGGAUGUACCUGAGAAAGCAACGGUAGCUCAUCAACUGAAAAUUUCCUGAAAAAUGGAAAACAUUGAUUAAACAUGUCAACUAGCAGUUUAGAAGUAGGCAACUCAGCCACUGAUCCAAGAGUAAUUCCAUCUUCCAUUAACUGAGUACCCCUCCUUACAGAAUGAAUUUCAUAGAGUUCAACAAGCUCUUUUCUAGCCUCAGAAAGAACAUUAAUAAAUUGCUGGGAAUCUUUUCUUUUAUCAGUGAACCCGUUCAGCAAUUGUUGGUCCCAAUAGACUGCGAAGCUGUUAUUGCUACCAGUGGCAUAUGAACAAACAGCUGAUACAACAGAACUUGCUAAUUUAGAAAUUGUGUUCUCAUGAUCAGAAACUUGACAAAUCUUAAGAGCUAAAAGCAAAAACUGUUUCAUUUCUGGUGGAAUGUCAAACUCAGGAAAUAGAAAAUUCAAGGACUUCAGGGAAGAUAUGGAUUCCUUGAAUGUCAUCUUAGCCGAGUGCAAUGCUGGUGGCAGGUCUUCAAGCUUCGCCUCUGAUGGAGAACAAACCACAUUUGCCAGAGAAGUAUCGAGAUCAAAUUCUAUGUUAAAUUGUCCAAGAUCUUCAGCAGUGUUUCCAUAAACAACAAGAGUGAGACAUCGAUAACUACCCCUUAAUACCAAAUGAUUUGUAACUAUAGCCUGCAUUAUGUUGUCAAUGAAGCAUAUGAAUAAUCCAGAGUAAUAACCAAAACCAAGAGAUUUAACAUAAGAGCAAUAAAAAAAAUUAACCAACAUCAACAGAAAGCAACAUUAUUAUGUGUUUAAAUAUGUGAAAUCCUCUAAUACCAGGAUCACUGCAUUCAACAAGAUCUAAAUCUCUAAGUUUGAUGUAUGAAUAAGGAAGAGUCACGUAUUACGUGCAAACAAACUUAUAAUAUAGCAAACAAUUUUGUAGAUAACAGUAACAUCUAAAGCCUGCUUAACUCGCUAGACAGUGCUUACCAUUGAAAUAGACCAACUAUUCAAGUGUUUGAUAAUAGUUUAAUUCAUUUAGAAGUUUGAAAGAUCAUAUGGAGCUUACCAUUGAAAAUAUACCAUGCAAUGCUGCAUUCAUUCAGUUAUUUAAUCUAUUGAUUGAAGCGACAUUAAUACAUUACCUAAAUGGAUUUCAAAACAUGUGCUUUUUAAUUUAAUCUCACUUCUUUUCAGGCUGGUAUACAACCUGAAAUGUCAUGCAUGUACAUGUGCAUAUUAUGCUUAAAACAGAUUAAAAAAAAAAAGUCUCCCUCUUAUCUCGAUAAUCUGAUUGGUCAACAUGAGACAACCUUCAAUGACAAACUAUGCAUUUAUUUUUAUAGUUUUUCACCUUACCUAGAGAUAUUAUAUUCUUGAAAAGCUAUGUUUAUGUUCAGCCAUUAUACCCAAAACCUUGUCUCUUAUGUAUUUUCGAAAAAUGUACAACUAAUAAGAUCAAGUUUCUCCUUAUUCACAAUAUGAGAAUAUAACUCAGGUACAAAUAACUUUCAACUGCUUAACUGACUGUUUAAUGCUUCAGUAUUUUAAUUUAUCAUGCUAGACGUAAAUUCUCCCUCUACUUUCCUCCGUUUGAUAGGGAAGUAAAUGGGGACAAACACCCGAAUAUUUUAGCCGUCCCCGAACCGAACGACGCAGUUUCAACCGAAAUUAAAUGGGGAUGAUUUCGGUGAUGGUUUUAAAAAAUUAAAAACCAUUCGGUUUCGUGUUCAGUUUCAGUUUUGGUGAAUUCCCUGACCGAAAAUACCCGAUGGUUAAUACCCUUAAUACACUUUGUAUUCAAGAUGAAAUCAAAUUAGGAGCUUCAUGAAAUAACCUGGGCCAUCCCAUAUUCCACUCAAUGACAAAUUUGAACAGCACAUUAUUUUUGGAUAUAUUUAUUAGAUGAGUUGGUAUGAAUUAUAAUAUAGAAAUUAUGGAACAUAUCUUUAAUUUUGUUAUUUAUAUGUGAAAAUUUUGAAAUGAAUAAAAAAAGUUAAACAGUUUUUGGUUUUUCGGUUUCAGUUUCGGUUUUGCAAUUUUUUUCUGGUUGCAGUUAUGGUUUUCGAUUUCAAAAGCUGUUCGGGUCCGGUUUCAAUUUCGGGAAGCAAUGGUGGAUUUCGGAUUUGGUUUCGGUUUUUUCACUAACCGCACCGAAUCCGCGCCAUUGACAUCCCUACCCUUUGAUCCUCAUAUUCAAUUUCUUAUUGCCUCUUCUAAAUUGCAAUCAGAUAACUUCCAUGCAGCCUUUGAUCAAUGUAACAACAUCAGCACCUUUGGUAUGCAAGCAUUAAUGUGAUAGAGUCAAUGCACCUAGGCAAAUCAUGUUUAAGACAUCAAAGUCAAAUUUUAAAUUAUAAAAUAUGAAAAACAGCUAGUACUUUGCAAUUUACCGACAUGGGUAUUCAAGUGUCCAAGUGCUUAGCAGGCACACAUCCGCAUCUAAUAUGAGUAAAUACAUAUUAAUGUAGCAUAUGAAAAAUUAGGAUAUAAUUGAUUGUCCUUAAAAAUAGUUCUAAUUCGACUUGCCUAGUCCCUGUUACCUUCUUGGACACUCCCUAGGAUGUCAAACAGCAUAUGAGAGCAAACUAGGCAGCUAGGCCCUAAUGAUGGCCAUCUAUUACAAUAUUACAACCUCCAAAGAAAUAAAAUAAAACCCCUUUUGCAAUCGAAGAUAGAACCAACAUCAAACACACCAAACAGUUUAAUUUUGGCCUAGCAAUACAAGAUUUGGAGCAACGGACUUUUAAACAAGUUAAAACAAGAAAUCAACUUCAAUUAGGAAACAACAACCAAUUUCUAAGUCAGAAUUAGGAAGGAGUCUUAACAUUGAUGGUCAGAAAUGUUAAUCCUGCAACCCUUUCACUUAUUAUCCCACUACUAGACUCACAUCCAGGCUACUUCAAUCUUGUUCAAGAGGCUCAGAAGGCAAAUCUAGAGCCUAAUACGUGUGACUCUGAGUUCUCUCUCCCAAAGCAAUCUUCAAUUGUUUUUGACACUCUAGGUAAAUCUAGCGUACUUGUUGUAGAGGUAACCUAUGGGUCAAAUGACUAUGUACGAUUUAUAAUAUGCUGUUUCUUUCCUCCAAAAACAACUACAAGCUCGAACUCAAGAUUUCUAAUUCGCUAGUGAACACUCAUAAAUUGACAAGUUGAUUGUCCAUCCCAACCUCAAUCCUGGCACCAAACUAAGUCUUCUAUAUUAUUAAACCUAGAAUCCUUAAUCUUCUUUGCGCCGUAGAGAAAACCACACCCCCACACACCGUAUCCAUCCAACCAACACCAACUCAAGUGAAAUAUUAUUCGCGAAAGUAUGGAGGAAAAGAUUCAGAUGAAAUCAUCAUAGCGAAACAAUCAUAAUUGCAUUCAAGGCCAUGCCUUGAUGUAGGCAGAAUAGCAAAUCUUUUGGUGAUGUUAAUUUUCCCUGACAUCUCUCCACAAUAGUUCUCAAGCAACAUGUGGUAAUUUCCUAAUACUUUGAUACAACAAUCAUCCACACCCCAAACAAAUCAAUGGAGCACCCACAACCUCCCUAUAUCUUCCAGAGCAAAUGCAACCAAUUCAAUAGGUAGAGAUACACAAAACAGAGCCACAAGCAUCAAGUCUCAAGUCUUGUACCCCCUAUUUACGCUCAGUUCUAUGAAUCGUCAAUUGCCACAGUCUCCUAUUUAGGCUGAUCUUAAUGUAACUUCAAGCUUAUCCAUAUCGUUUUUCACAACUUCUGCUCCCAUUACCCUAGGACUUUCCCUCCUCUUCCCAUAUCUUUCAACCAAGAUCAAAGUAUCCCCCCCUUAUUGCAUGUGCUUGUACCAACUUAGUUGAUUCUCCAUCAUUUCAUCCUUAAUUUGCGCGCACUCUACAGCUCCUCAAGUAUACCCAUUUCACAUUUUAUUCUUUCUACUUUUACUACACGUCCAUUUUAGCAUUAUCAUUCUUGCUAUGUCCAUCUUGUCUUUUCAAAACGUCAUUAUGUGCAGUCGUGCACCAUUUUAAGCUAUACAACAUUGCAUGCUCUAAUAUCAUUCUACAAUUUCCUCUUUAAGGGGCCAAGUUAUAAGUCAACCAUACAAUACACAAAAAGCACAUUUUUCCACUUCAUCCAACCAGCUUUAAUUGUAUUACAUGUCUUUAUCUAUCUGCCAUUGUUUUGCACAGCAGGUCCUAGAUAACAAAUCUGAUCGAUAUAAGGUAUCUUAGACAAUCAAACUUGUAAGGCCCUCAUGCUUGUUUUUGUUUUCCCAGAAACUAUGCCCCAUAUAUUUUUGUUUGUCGUAUCAUAUCCUCUAAUACUUACAUGAAUAGCAUUAAUCUUGUUGUUUUCUUUCUCAAUAACCUACAUAACAUCUACAAACAAUAUACACCACAGUACAUCUUUAUGAAUAUCAUCCAUAGCAUAAAAGACAUAAGCUUAGUAUCGAUCCUAUAAUAAGUUUCCUACGAGUCUAAGACGAGAAUUAGUAUCAACAAAUAUCAGCAACGAGAGUUCCAAGCUCAAAUGGAAAAAGGUUGGGAGUUGACGUUAGGUUGACAAAUAGUCAUAAAAAGCAUGUCAAACUACAAAACCGGCCUAAGAAGAUAUAUAUAUAUAUAUAGAAAUAUCAAUAUACGCGCUCGGCAUCCAUCGAUAUACUUGGUUUUCUAACAUCCCAUUUUCAAGACCCAAUACUUGAUUGAAGUAUUUUGCCUCUAAAUAAUGCGACAACCAACUCAAUAAAAACACCAAUAAUUUGCAUGGACUUCUUCACAAAACAAAGGAAAUGUAAAAUGCAUAAAUGAUUUUCGAUAGCAUUCUCAACCAUCAAACGCUUCAUCAAUGCAUGAGAUGGCAAUGAGCAUAAUAAUCCAACUUUCCACAAGAAGUCAUCAGAGCAAGCAAAUAGUAUUUUGAUAAAGCAUUUUUGAAACUUCUCACAAACUCAAUCUUCACCAUCAUUAAAAACUGAAAUUUUAAUUUCUCCAAGUGCUAUUAGCAACAUUGUGCACUUCUAAUUUUCCAUUCUACAAAGAGGGAAAGGAAAAAAGCUCGAUAAUAGCUGGUAUGUUCACUAUUGAACUUAACCAAGUUUCCUCCACCCAUAGUUUUAAAAGAACAAUUUCGGUAUGACAAUACAUUUUGUUGUGCUCUUUGUUCUCAUAGUCAAAGAGUACUACUCAUAAAACUCCAAACCAAGAACCUAUCUUAUGUACUCUCUUCGGAUCUUUGUUCCCAGACUUGAUAGACACUAUUUCUCCUCAACUCUGAAACAUAAGGCCAUAUGGUAUUCAAAACAAAGCAAAUGAACGAGCAUUCAGUUAAGAGAUGCAUGAGAAAAAAUUUAAAACACAGCCAGCUGGCUUCUUCUAUUCACAAUCUUUGGCUUCAUGGAAAUCGGUAGCCAAUUGUUCUUCAUGAAAAGUUUCUUAGUAUAUUCUAUACUAACAUGAAUAGCUAUCCUGUAGUGUGAAUCGUGAAGUAGAUAUUCAGACAGAUUAGGCAGUCAUACUGAGGAAGUAGAGAAGAAGGCAGUGUAGAAUUUACCUCAACUUCCAAAACAUUUGAUGAAGAAUGUGAGUAGAGGAAAGGCUGGCAAAGACGCCUAAAUCGUGACUCCCCUUCACAGUGGACAAAAACCUCCAAAGCAAAUGAAGGAGGGGAUGUCGCGCUGCAUGAGAAAUUUUCCAACACAAGCAACAUUCAGAAUGAUUUUAAAAUGUCCCUUCAAAAUUAGCCAUGUAAAACAAAUCUAGAAAAAUUGUCCUCGUUGAGAUGAAGAUCACGCAUAGACUUUGCCAGUUGAAAUACCCAUAAAAUAUCAAAAAUGAAAGAAAGGUCUUCCAUAUCACAGUUUACCUGAAUGACUACGGAGAAGGUGAUAACUUCGUCGAAGAUGACAAUACUAACAUUUUAUGAGGUUAUGACUUUUACUGAUUUUAUGAGGAUUUAUUCAACAAAGGAUCCAUGUGCUUAUUCAACAAAAGAUCCAUGAGCUUCAUCCACCUAACAAGGGUAAACAGGGAUUGCCAGCGACACUGAAAUUUGAUAACCCCAUGGUGUUCCAAGAUGUCCCCAUUGUAGCAGUAGGGGGAGAUGACUCUUCCACAUAAAUGGUGAUGAGAUAAGCUCCACAACUCAUGAGCAAGCAGAGAAGUGGCAAGAUAAUUAAGUUGUGCUCUCACUAUCUUAGGUAGAUAAGCAACUUUCAAGCUGAAUUGUCUAGUCUCCAGCAAUCUAUCAUUUGAUUUUUAUAGGUCCUUGCUGUCACGCAAUCGAAAUGCAUUUACAUACCAUCAUCAUGUAAUGCUCCUAAUAUACAGGACUACAUGAAUGAUGGUGAUGACAAAGACAGCAAUGAUAAGCAGAUAAUAGAUUGGCCACUACAGGUUGUUUUUAUUUCUUCAUAUGCCGUGUACCUUUUAUUUUGUUUUAUUUCUUCUGAUGCUGUGUACCUUUUAUUUUGUUUUUUUCUUCAGAUGCUGUGUACCUUUUAUGCAUAAAUACUAUGAACAAAUAAAAAUAAAUAUAAUUCAAAGGAUCAAUGCCGAAAUAUAUUUUGUAUGUGUUCUUAAAUUCCUUAGACAAUGUUCUGGAUGCUCAUAAGCAUAUGCAUGCACAGACUUGCAUUCAAAAAAGCAUGAUUUCCAUCAAAUACCCUAGCAGACCAAUCGGAUAUUUCUUCACAAGUUUGAAAAUCUUCAUGCCAGCGAAUGCAAUAUUCGCAUGGUAUUUGAUACAGCAUCAACCAUUCUGUAGCACAAGCAUGACACUUGAAUACCUUUUUUCUUUUUUAUUUUCCGGAUAACCUUGUUCCAGCAUACCGCCAAAAAUCGCAGAAGUUUCACUCAAUGACUUUUCAGGUUAAAUAUAUAUCAAAUAGAGAUGACCUACCCAAUCUACACCAAAGAUCAGAAUUCAGAAAUAUGUUACCAUCACCAUCUUAAACUUUCAGACUGGCACAUCAUAGUUAUGGAUGCAAACAAAAUAGAAUGCAGCUACAUGUGGUUACUGUCUUGAUGAGAUGAUGCAAAUGGCAAAAGGCUAUAAUAUUUAUUCCCGUUAAUAAAAUGAAAACUUUUGACCACAUUACAUAGAACGUCUUCGCAUGCUCCCUUUCUUUCAUAUGAUUUUCCUAAGAAGAACCAUAUCUUUUGUCCAACUCCAGAUUAACAAAUAAAAGACAAGGUAAAAGUCAUCAAACUACUUUAAUCAGAAUAACUGUCAUCAUAUAUGUAUGCAUUUCUGAAAAAAAUGGAAGGGGAAAAAAGCUGUCAAUCAUACCCAAUAAGCGAUAAGUUUGGUGUAGACGGAGAAGCAUUCUGCUCAAGAAACUCACAAGCAGUUAUGACAACAGGUUCUGCAAACAGCACCUGCAUGGAUAUGCAAAACAUCAUUAAAAGUAUUGAACAAGAAAAAGUAAACUGUUAGAGUUAAUAUUCAGAAAAUAUUCACACUUUCUUCAUAACUUAUGUAUACAUCAUUUGUCCUGCUGAACAUUCAAGAAAAUUUAUGCCUUGCAUUUGCGCAUAGAAACUAUCAAGCAAAUCCUUAUAGAUACAGACAAAAGUGAAACAAAGAUAGAACAAAUGGUGCAUGAAUUAUGUAGUGAGAAUAACAAUUGAUUCCACAAAAGAUAAAAGAAAUGUUCGCAGUGCAUUUUGGUGUACCAGCAAGAUUACAAUGUUCAGCGAUCUUACACGGUUUCUGAAAAUGGAAAUUGUAAUUUUCUACGCUAAGGUGUUUAAUGUGUUGAAAUCAAGGAAAUCCCAAAAUCAAAGUAUUGGAAGUUUCUACUUGGAGUGAGAUUUUCCGAAUUCAUCAUUCUGACAUCGCACUCAGCAAUCGUUCUUCUGAUUUUAGUUUAAAUAUUUUGCACAGGGGGAUAUCAACAGGCUACGCCACACCAGAUUUCUGCAUCAGACUGGGUCUUUGGGUCAGUCCUCUCAAAAUUGUAUAUUUUCCUAACCAAAAAACAGACUGUUCGCAUCUAUUGUUUCUUUUUUUGUAAGAAAAAUGCAUCCAUUCUUUUAAACAACCAAACACUUUCCAAAAAAUCUCACUUUCAAAGAACCUCUCUACUUUUGAACAACCAAAUACCUUUUCCAAGAAAACUUCAAUCCAAGAGAACCAGGAGUUUGCAUGUAAAGAACAACCAAAUAUAGCUUCAAAAAACAACGAAAGAUGGCAUUGGAAAAGACAAUAAAUUCCAUAACUAAAAUAUUGACUAUUAUUCUGCAAACUUAAGAUUAAUAAGAGAGACUGUCUGACCUCAUCGACAUAUUCAUCAAGCUGAGAAUGAACAAAUGAUUGAGCAAAUAAGACACAUGGCUCGGGGCGGCCCAUCCUCUCUUCUUUAACUCUAGAUAGACAUAGCCUGAAAAGAAACAUAAGCAACAAAAUGAAACUAGAGUUUUGAAAAGGAAAGCCACAUCAACAACCAAAUCAAACCUUCCUAUCGAUAAGUAUAGCAUGAUAUGAAUACGAAAAGCUUGAUUGACUCAUCUUGCUCCACCCCCCUCCUUUCUCUCUCCUUUCUGGGAGGAAAGUAGCAAUAGUACUGCUAUCCAUCAAUAUUAAGAAAGUUCAACAUCCAUACGUUACAUUAGCCAUUCCUUUAAAGAAAGGAUCAUCCCACACCCACGAGCUUUCUGGGAUCCCAAGUUCCCUAGCUCACUCAGAAUAAGAUGAAAAGGACGGCAAAACUAGUCCAAUGUCGGUGGCACCUCCAUACAUGCAUAUAAACCUUACCCAACCAGGCUUGGCUGCACGCUCUCCACCAACUAAUCAAGUUUUCUAGAAUCUCGAGUUUCCUGGCUCAUCCAAAAUGGGAUAGAAAGGGCGUCAACAAGCUUUCUGGCACGCUUGGUGGGACCUGCGUAGUCAUUGUGACACUACUUAUAGUGGAACAACUGCAUAGUUGUCACCCUGCCACUAUCAAAGGAAGCUACGAAAACAGCUGCAAAGACGCGGCCACUAUAAUAAGGCCACUUUUGGAGUGGUAAACCACAUCUUUAGCUUUAGUAGAGGGACGGUUUGAAAGACUUGUUUCCAUAGUUGAAGGUCGAUAUGCAAAGCCAUAGUACAUUUCAGCAAGUUUUACGGUAAAGACAGCUAAGGCUAUUCUUGUGAUGGAUGAAUCAGCUUAUCAGCGGCGUGUUAAAGUACUACAAUGUAGGAAGAAUCAGAGAUGGAGACUUUAGCUCAUCAGAAGAUAACAGCCGCAGAUGAUAGCAUUAGGACCCCAAAAUCUACUGACCAAGGUAUCACAGAAGUCACAACAGCAAAGUUGCAGUAGACCAAACUAUCGAGGGAUAUUUCAAUCAAUACCUAGCCAAAACCCAAGAUUGUCCGUCAUAGUAAGCUACAAAGGAUCGCUAGUGAAGUAAACAAAUCAUUGGCGACAUUAGUUUCUGAUCGUUUGCCCAAGAGUGAAGAGCAAAAAUAUAAUAGCUUUGUACGUAUCACGAGGGUUGGGGGUCAACCGUAUCGAAGGAAGCUUCCAAACGUUAUUAAUGUGAUGAAUAUUCCCUAUGCUGGGGGGGCAACAUAACAACGCAAGAGCCUAUUUGGCCUGGUGGCAUCAUGAAUGAUCUAAGAUCCUCAUAUGGAAUAUGGAAAGUAUGGAUCUUAUUGUUCUACAAAAAUCUGCUAAAGGAUCGAAAAAAUGCUAAAUUUAAUCUAAAAGCGGAGAUAAAUUAAAACUAUAUAUCCCUAAACCCUAAACCUCCUAAAACCUAAAAACUCUAAACCUUAAACCCUAAAAACCCUAGCACCCUAAACCCUAAACCCUAAACUCUAAACCCUAAACCCUAAACCCUAAACCCUAACCCUAAAAUCGAAACCCUAGACCCUAAACCCUAAAACCAUAAACCCUAAAGCCUAAACUCUAAAACCCUGAACCGAAACCAAAAAUCUUAAACCCUAAACAAUAAAACCUUAAAACCCUAAAAUCGUAAACCCUAAAUCCAAAACCCUAAACCCUAAACUCCUAAAUCCUAAAGCCAAAAUCCAAAAUCCUAAAAUCCUAGACCCUAAACCCUAAUGCCGACUUCACUUAAUUUUUGAAGUUAAAAAAAAGCCCCCCAGGGUUGUGGUAGCAGGAGGCUGUCAGUUAUUCGAUUGCACAGUUUUCGAUCCGGACUUGAGGGCGGCCUGGGCAGGUCUUCGACAUGCUCAGCGUGUGCAAUCAGCUAGCUCAGUCAUCUUGGAGGGUGACUCAGCCACGGUCAUCAAUUGAAUCCAGAGGGGUCCGAGGGUCGCUGUCGGUGACCAUCCAAUGCUUCGUGACAUCUGGAUGAUGAUGAGGGAUGGAAGAGUUGUCCAGACUAAGCAUGUAUUUAGAGAAGCCAAUGAAGUUGCGGACUGGGUGGUCCAAUGUGUGGCCAACCACACCGGCAGUACCAUGUCGAUAGGGGAUGGAGAGCUGCCUCGGGAGCUCCAUGAUAUUUUAUUUUCUGACUUUCUUGAGUAUAUCCAUGCAUGUGUUGUAUGAAUUACCCGUCGCAAUAGAAAAAAAAGGCCCCUCAAGAUCCCUACUUCAAGCGAAACAGAAGAAUCAGAGACGGAGCCUCUCCUUUGCCCCUCUAUGCGGCUCCACGGCCCUCCAUUGGUCUUCAUCGACCGUUUGCCACCCUCCCUCCCUCUCUCCCUCCCCCCACUCUCUCUCUUUCCCUCUCUUUCCUUCUCCCUCACCCCCUAUAGCAACCCCUCCACUGCUAGUUUCUCAUUCUACUCCUUGGAACCAUCCCAUCCGCCGCUUGUACAGCACUAUACACUACGAAUCGGGCAACUCGAGGCAGUUCCGCCAUCCUUGGUUCAAUCCUUUGUAUAGGUGUACAUAUAUAUAUAUAAGAAAUUCUUCCCCGCAUUUAAAAUUUUAAGCAUAUAUCCAAAUCCAGAUCCAAAUCCGAUCGAAUUCGGAAAGAAUAUAGAAAUGGAUUUGAUUGGAUAAUAUCCUGCUCAUUCUCAGAAAGAAUACUUGAUUUUGAGCAACAAAAUAGUAUCAUCGCUAUAGCCAUCUUUCUAGGACAAAGAAAAUUUUAUUACUAAAAUAUUUUUGAUGAAAGUGCUUCCGUCACAGAAAAAAUUACUUCCGUAGCAAAAAAAAAUAGCGCAUAUGACCCUUGGAGCUGAUAUUUCUUGAUAAAAUAGAUGUUUUGGCAGUGUCACCUACAUACUUUUAGUGGCAAACUAUUUUGUCGUGAAAUAUAUAUAUAUGUUAGCGACAAAAUUCAUUUCAUUAUAAAAUAUUGAAUAUUUUGUGAUAAACUACUCUAUUUCAUCGUAGAAGACAUUUAGCGAUGGGGCAUCAAUUACGAAACCUAGCGACGAAAUUUUUUUCAUCGCCAAAUACCAUAGGCGACGAAAUUAUUUUUUGGCGACGAAAUUAUUUUUUAGCAACAAAAUUAUUUUAUUGCUAAAUGUAUAAAUUCUUGUAGUGACACCAGUGCCCUCGAUGCGCUCUCCAAGCAUCCUUAACUAGUCAUCUCUCAACCUCCUAUCAAACUCUAUGUUGUUCCUCAAAGAGUUGAGCACCAUCAAACUCCCGAGAAGCUUCUUGUUCAAGAAGAUCUACGGCAUGGCAGCACUCCCCGACCAUUCAAUCAACUCCUGCUCUAGGAAGCCAUCAACAUUGAUCCUGACGCACGAUAAGCCUAAUGCGGUGAGGAGUCCGUCGUCUCUCCAUUAGUCCCUUCUCCAAUGGGAAUAUUUAAGUUUCAUGCAUCCUAAAUCUAAAUGCAAUGGAAACAUAAGUUUCCACUGUGUAGAAGACCUAAACUGCAUCCUUAGUUAAAACACUUGUUUAUAAUACAAACUCAAUUUUGUUAUAAUCGGUAUGAUUUUGCAUCAGCUUUAUUCUAAAGAACCAGAAGAAAUACUUCAGCAUUUUCCUUAUAUUCAAGGUUUCAUUCUAAAGGCUAGUUGAUCAUGUAACCUAGCAUCUUUCAUGUCUUUUGUACCAGCAAACCUUAAAAUGUCAGCCUUUUCAUUGUUUCAAAGGUAUCCCUUCUCUAAUCAUUAGAAAUUGGCAAAUAUGUCCAAGCAGCAAACAGAAUGACAACCUAUACACUAGAAGAUAAUCAUGGAGCACCUACAUGUUCAAGAACGAUAGGCUAGUUACUCAAGUAAACCAGCACCUCCCGUGACUAUUGUACCAUUUGUCCCUAAAAGUUUUCCUUCAAAGCUAUCCCUCCUGCCAUAAUCUGAAUUUGGUAAUUUGUUCAAUCAAUGAACAGAAUGUUAAUCUAUACAUAAGCAAAUAAUCAUGGGGCACCUAAUCAAAAUUUGUAGUAUUGUAUUAAAAAGACAAUCUAGCUGUCCAGCUAUAUCAAUGAAAUAAUAAGUUAUGCUGAAGAUGAAGGGGCACUCAAAUCAAAUGGUUGAGUUGCCAACAUAUUCGCCAAGCCAUUCCAAUACCUAAGGAGGCAUCAGCACUUCCUUUCUUGCUAUGCAAGUUACCAUGAACAAUUACUCCAUCCACAAUUCAAAUAGCAACAUCAUCAUUUGCUUAUCAUAGGCUAAUGGGACCAAAUAACACCGAGAUUAGAACAGUUGUAAUGAGGUUUUUGCCUUCUCGUUUUCAGCUUGCUCACUCUAAAAUAAUGCCAAAACAAGUUUCUUUCUAAGAAGCCUCACAGAUAAUUGUUACUCGCCUUUCUCUAAGAUACACUCAAAUAUUGAAGAAAAACUAAUGCCUUGCGUUUUGAAACACUUCUUCGAGAUUUAAAAGAGCACAUGCUCAAAGUGUCUAUAGAUCAUAUUUUAAUAGAUAAGGGGCAAAUGACCUAGACAGGGCUAAAGAAAUUCUAGCAAAGAGAGAAAGAAAGAACUGGCACAGUAGCCGCAAGCUCUAGCUUUUUGCCAUCCAACUUCCGUUUUGAAGCAUAAGUAGAAAAAUAAGCAUCAAGUUUAACGCAAAAAUAUAAAACAGGGCUCCAGAUUUAGGAGGGAGAGAGCAAGAGCCCGUACCUGAAUGGCACUACUGCCAUAGUUUGGCAUCCGUCGAGCAGCACGGCCAUCGGACAGCCUUGUUCGAUCCAUGUCCUCCUUUUCGUCAAUCUUCUGCCUUUCAAGGAGUAAUGGUGAUCGAAAACCCUAAAAAUGGGAGAGAAAAUGAUGCGGUGAGAGACUAAUGGCAGAAGAGUAUCGAAGAGGGAUGUCGGGAAAGAGGUAUUAGGUUAAGGUUUUGAAGGAGGAAGAGGAGCAAGAAGAGGNNNNNNNNNNNNNNNNNNNNNNNNNNNNNNNNNNNNNNNNNNNNNNNNNNNNNNNNNNNNNNNNNNNNNNNNNNNNNNNNNNNNNNNNNNNNNNNNNNNNNNNNNNNNNNNNNNNNNNNNNNNNNNNNNNNNNNNNNNNNNNNNNNNNNNNNNNNNNNNNNNNNNNNNNNNNNNNNNNNNNNNNNNNNNNNNNNNNNNNNNNNNNNNNNNNNNNNNNNNNNNNNNNNNNNNNNNNNNNNNNNNNNNNNNNNNNNNNNNNNNNNNNNNNNNNNNNNNNNNNNNNNNNNNNNNNNNNNNNNNNNNNNNNNNNNNNNNNNNNNNNNNNNNNNNNNNNNNNNNNNNNNNNNNNNNNNNNNNNNNNNNNNNNNNNNNNNNNNNNNNNNNNNNNNNNNNNNNNNNNNNNNNNNNNNNNNNNNNNNNNNNNNNNNNNNNNNNNNNNNNNNNNNNNNNNNNNNNNNNNNNNNNNNNNNNNNNNNNNNNNNNNNNNNNNNNNNNNNNNNNNNNNNNNNNNNNNNNNNNNNNNNNNNNNNNNNNNNNNNNNNNNNNNNNNNNNNNNNNNNNNNNNNNNNNNNNNNNNNNNNNNNNNNNNNNNNNNNNNNNNNNNNNNNNNNNNNNNNNNNNNNNNNNNNNNNNNNNNNNNNNNNNNNNNNNNNNNNNNNNNNNNNNNNNNNNNNNNNNNNNNNNNNNNNNNNNNNNNNNNNNNNNNNNNNNNNNNNNNNNNNNNNNNNNNNNNNNNNNNNNNNNNNNNNNNNNNNNNNNNNNNNNNNNNNNNNNNNNNNNNNNNNNNNNNNNNNNNNNNNNNNNNNNNNNNNNNNNNNNNNNNNNNNNNNNNNNNNNNNNNNNNNNNNNNNNNNNNNNNNNNNNNNNNNNNNNNNNNNNNNNNNNNNNNNNNNNNNNNNNNNNNNNNNNNNNNNNNNNNNNNNNNNNNNNNNNNNNNNNNNNNNNNNNNNNNNNNNNNNNNNNNNNNNNNNNNNNNNNNNNNNNNNNNNNNNNUGAGCUAUGGCUAAUAUCGUAUGAAAGCCUGUGGGCUUGCUCACGGGACUCGGAAGAAGAAAAUAAAAGAAGCCCCUUCACAUUUGCGAUGUUAGAAGUCUCAUUGUCCCUACAUUUCUUGCAAGAGAGAUUUCUUAGAUCUCUCUCUAAAUCGAAUCGUCAUGAGUGGCCUUAGAAUAGCAAACCACAGGUUCUUGGUAGAGGAGCAAAGAGAUGGAGCAGAGAGAUGAUGGAGCAAAGAGAUGACGGUAGAGGAGCAAAGAGGAGAACCAGAUUCCCGUCGCGAUGAGGAGAAGUGAGGAAAAAAGAGAGAACUCACCGAGUCGCCAAGGAGGAGGACGAUGAGAAAGAAGAGAAGCACCGCACCGCCCAUCGAGCUCCCCGCAAACGAGCCCUUCCGGCUCUUCUUCAAUUGUCGGAAAAUCGUCGCCCCCACCGGAGAGGGAGGGGAGAGCGAAAGCUAGGGCAGACCACAGACGGAGGAGGAGGUGGGGACUGGGGAAGAAGGAGCUAGGGCAGCGCCGCAGCAAGUCGGGGUCGGGAGAGGACUGAGGAGGAUGGACCGAAUGGUAGGAGAGGAGGGCGUUGGGCCAACCGUCGGAUGCAGGGUUUGGAACUGAUCUCAACCGUCGGAUCCCAAACUCAAUUAGUCAGGUCAAGUCGCGAGCUUUGUUUAGGCUCAUGAGCUGUUCGGGCUCGAGCCCAAGAUCGAACUCGAGUUUAAACGAGCCUCAUUUUGAGCUUGGGCUCGGGCUCGUUUGACUAACGAGCCCAGCCCGAGCUGAGUUUUUAUCCGGCUCAGCUUAUUAACAGGCCUAACCUUAAACCCUAAACCUUAAAAUCCUAAACUUCGAAACCCUAAAACCUAAAUCCUAAAACCAAAAAUCCUAAACCCAAAAACCCAAAAAUUCUAAAACACCAAACCCCGAACCCAAAACCCCAAACCCUAAAACCCUAAAUCCCUAAAACCAAACACCAAACCCCAAAACCCCUAAACCCCAAAUCCCUAAACCCCUAACCCCGAAAACCCUAAACCCCCCAACCUAAAACCCUAAAACCCCAAAAGAGUUUGCUUUUGACCUUCUAUUAGUGUUUCAUGUAUUGGGUACGAAAGUUGUCCAUGCAAUGGGUGGCCAUAUGUCUACACAAAACUAGAUAUAGAGAAGCAAAGGUCACAGAAAAUGAUAAAUUGACAGCAUUUUACAGCAUCCAAGAUGAAUAUAAAUUAUAUCAUACUAACACACCAUUGGCAUCCUCUGAAAGAUAUGAUUGGACUCUUGAUAACAAGGAUUAUUGUAUUGAACCACCUGAUUUAGUCAGAUACCAUGCCAAUACUGAUCACUAACCAAAAUGGUUCGAAGUCUUGGCAUGCAAUAGGGCCCGAACAUGCGCAAAGUAGCCUUAAUCGGACUGAACCAUCCGGAGACACUCCAUUCCGAGUGGUUCAGCCUAGUAAGGGCCCGUAUGGCUUAAUUAUUUUUAGAGAGGCUUUCGAGAGGCUACAUUAGCCAAAAUUAAAAUUCAAGAACUUAAUUUGAAUUAUUCUUUUAUAAAAAUUUCAAAAAUAAUUAUUAAUUCAAGAACUCGUGAAAUUUCAGUAUCAUGUACCGAUGUUUUGUAAAUAUUUUUUUGAAGCAUAUACAUAUUUUUCCGAUGGUUAUGCAAUUUAUACAUAUUCUUCAAUAAAUUUAAUAUAAAAAGCAUUUAUGCAUUGAAAAUUUGUGAAAAUUUAGAAUUAUAUAAAUAUAGUUCGAAAGUAAUUUUUAAGACAAGUAACACCUUUUUAGACAUCUUCAAACAUUUUCUAAAUUCUUUGAGUAAUUUUAAAUUAAAAAUUAUGGUCAAUUUGCAGAUGCAAAGUGAUAAUCAGUGCAACCUUGUUCUAUAUUUGAUGAUGAAUGGUUUUAAAAAUUUCAGGAUUAGAUAAUCAACUAUGAAGCCGAAAAGCAAGAAUACUAAGCUAAGGAUAACGAGUGGCGGCAUGACCAAAUAGUUAUCGUCACCAUUGGAGGAGCAAGUGAUGUUCCUCCAAGUUGAGGAGCUGGGUCACCUAAUUGAUGAAAAAGCAACCAACAAGCAAGUAUUCCAAUAUUAUAGCCUGUAAGAAAUGUCCUCGAGAGUUCCAUCAGCCUUUUCAACAAACUUUUGGAGACUUCAACCGGAAAAGGAGAUCAUGGGAGAAACACGCCAAGUUGGAUAGGAGGAUAGCAAAGUCACCAUCUUAUUACUCUAGAGAUCCAACAAAUUAUGAGGUCUCUAAUUGGAUGACAUGGUGAAGGCCAAAAUUCAAGCAGCCAUCUAGGCUAGUAAGGAGGAAAAGUGGCAGAUAAAUAAGAUGGCCAAGUGUAGAGUUUAGUUUGGACUCUCAUAAUACAAAGGUAGUUUUCGAUUUGAGUCUAUACUUUAUCAAGGUUUAAGGAGAACCCAAUCCGUCGGAGCUUCAAGUGUCAACUAGAUAGCAUCCAUGUUCAGAGCUUCAAAUUUUCUCUUUAAGCAUAAUUUUGUGGACUUCAGUUUGGAGAUCCUUCUCUUAUAAAUCAGGAUUCCUGUUUUCCAGAUUCUGACUUAUGGAUUAUAGGUUCCUGAUAUUGUUCGUUGAAUAUAUUCUCCAACAGCAUCUAAGUUGGCCAGUAAUAAAUAACAAUUUUUGCAACAUCUUAUUGUUCAACAAUUAUAUAUCCGUUGAAAGUAUUAUACAAUAAGAUUAAGCCAAAUUUAACCUUUCCAUGUCAUGCUUAUUGUAAUAUAAAUGAAGCUUUAAUUUCUUACUAUUAUGUACAUAUUAUUAUUAUUUUAAAUCAAGUACGUAUUGUUAUCAUUAUAUAAAUAGUGCCCCAACUGCUUUGCACAACCAUGUUACAAGCAAAUACAGAACUAACAUGAUUGCAAAGGUAGACUUGACCGAUUAAGAAAGAAAUCACCGUUCUUCGUAAAAGACAGGACCCUGCCUGGACUAUACAGACUCAGAGCUCAUGUUCGAAUCAAGAUGGCACCCAUGAGUGAUAGGUCCCAUGCCGUACAUAUAGCCCCAUGCUUGAUAAAGCCCAUCCAAUCGUCAUAGCCAUAGUGCCAAUCCAAUCGGAUUAACUCUAAGAUAUCGUCACAACAUUAUUUUUUUAAUCCUCAGACUGUUCAAACAAAAUAACAACAAAACUAUAAUCAUUAUCAGGGAUAACAGCAUUUGUUCCAAACAAAAUGAGAUCAUUCCAAUUAAACCUACACAAAUUUAACCCUCACUAGGAUAACACCUACUUGUACCGAAAAUCCCAACUCCAUAUACAAAACUGGGCCAACUUAGCUGACAAUUGUUUUGAAAUGAAUUCUCAAACUCUGAAAGAAAACCACCCGACCAUGAUACAAACACAAAAUGUAUCUUAAAACUUGAAAUUCCAACCAAGAGUAGGAAAAAAACAUUUUGAUUAAUACAUUAUUCAGAUAUUAAACAGACACUAAUGCACAAAUGAAACACAAGGUGAAAUGAGAAGCAACUGCUUGGAAGGCUUCAAUAUGCCGUGAUGCCUUCUCUAUAUAGCAGAUUGGCCCCCACCAACGGAGCCAGCAAAAUUGGCCUCUGAUGGUGGCCACGAAAAGUUGUCAACAUCAAAAUUUCUUACAUCCAAGUACGAAGAUUUGAUAAUUCCUACACCUCUUCCUCCGGCAACUAUUGCUGGCCCAAACGCUCCUGAACAGCAACAGAAAAUGAUGGGAAACAUGAGUGGCAGGGGAACAUCAAAAUUAAUCCUUGAAUGGACGUUGACAUAAAGAACAUAUCAUUUCAUGCAAGCAUAUGAAUAGGCAGAUGCAUGCUCAACUUUCAAAAUGACACAUUAUAGUCGCUAUAAAUCUCUUAGGAAGAAAUGAUCUAAACCAUCACGGUAGACAAAUUUGUCUACUAUUAUGACACAAGCUCCCUCAGGCCAUUUGUCAUUUAACAGAUCAUGACUCUCUUCCCCUGUCUUUGAUCAUCUUCCAAGCCACCUACUAGUCCAUCCCAAUAUAAUUUCUUUUAGCAAAUACACCUCUGAGAUACAAGCUUAGUAACAAGGUUAGCCUAGCCAAAAUUUCUUCCAGUAGUAGAGAUAGUAUGCAUCGAAUACGCCACCUCAGACGAACUAUAUUGAUGUGGGUCAUAGCCUAACCAUGUAAAAUAGGAUUCAGUGUAUGACUUGAAUCCAAAUACGUCUAGGAUACCACGAGCUCUACCAUAAGAGGGCCAUUUCUUGUAUGUAAUGAUAUCCUCGCAGGCUCUACCAGGUCGUGCACCAUGAUCCCUAUCCUAUGUGGCAUGACAGAAUUGAGACUCAUUGGUGAAUCGAAGAUCCUAAGCUGAGUUAUAUAUUGUUUUGCCAUGUCCACUGCUAUCUCUCUGGCCACCAAAUACAUCGUGGCUCGAAAUAUCACCAUCCCUUGUAUCAUGAAACGAUCCAGCUAGCCGGCCAUCCAAGAGCUCACUGAUCUCCGAAUAAGUGAACAAGCUCCUCAACUCUCUCCAACAUAACUGCACCUCAACUCUCUCUCUUUAAUUUUUUGCUGAUUUUCGGCAUGAAAAAAACAAAAAGAACAGGGAAGGGGAGAAGACCCUUUACCUGUUUUUGGCUUGGAUGUAAGUUGAAAUCCGCAAAAUCUUCACCCUUUAACUGUUAAAGAGUUUGGGGCAGUACGGCCUUCCUAGCUUCUAAUUAUACCAACCUGUUAAAUCCAAUAUAUCCCAUUUCACCAACACCAGCUCACUCUUUAACACAUUAAGCCCUACUUAUCCUUAAAACUCUUGGGACCAGUCUGUAGUAGUCUUACUAAUUAGCUUCUCUGUGGAAAAUUCCGUUAGGAACUAAAUUCUUUUAAUUCUCCGCAUGAAUGUAAACAUGCAUUUUUUCCGAAACACCAAGUGGAUCUUUUCGUCAUCUAUUGCAUCAAACUAUCAUAAUUUAUUGAAUCAAACCUGAAGCAUCUGCAUUAAUUUUGGAUGCUGUUCCAAAAGUUGACAUAGCUUAUCUCGAUCACAUAAGAGAGUCUGUCAAAAACAAACCCAAGAGAAAUAGAAGAAAAAAAGAUGUCAGUCAACAUAAAAUGAAUUGCAGAAUAUAUUUCAUACAUUAAAGUCAGCAAACUAUAUACAAGACAAACCUGAAUGGCUUCAGGUGAAGAAAAGUACUGCUGCAAAGUCAUUACUGACUCUUCUUGCUGCUGAGGUGCACUAUCUACUUGAAGAUUUGGAUUUUGCAGUUGAGCUUGCUCAAGCAUCGGCUGCAGAGGUUGCAAAAGAGACUCCUGCUGUUGGGUUUCAUAAUAAAAUUGUAACUGGGGAAUAUGGAGCUGCUGUGGAAUCUGCAAGGGAUUAACCUGUAUUUGGAUAGAGCUUUGUUGAAUUGGCAU
rnacentral:lncRNA from 1 species